AUAUAUAUAUAUAUAUAUAUAUAUAUAUAUAUAUAUAUAUAUAUAUAUAAUGUAUUUUAAUUAUAUAUAGACUUUAAUUUAAUUUGGGCUAUUAUUGUUGGCCCAUAAAAUAAACCCAACAAGUACAACCGUGCAAUUGAGCCCAACUCUAAAUUUACAUAACACACUCUCUCUUUCAGACUUUCACUGUUGCACAUAACCCUAAAACAUGAUAAUAUUCAAAUUUUCAAAUCCCUAAUUUUUUUUCCUCUCUCUCUCUCUCUCUCUGAUCCUCACCCAGUCAGGCAGUCACCCUAGCUCACAUUUCUUAUAAUUAUUUUGUAUUUUGAACUAUUGAACAUGUUGUAUCAAAUUAUAGGUAAUGUUCUAUAAAAAUUAAACUAUUGAUUAUAUUAUGUCGAGAAUUUCAAUCGGCUCGUUUAGAGCUCGAGCUCGGCUCGACUCGAAAUUAGGCUCGCUCGAGUUCGGCUCGAAUUAAUUUCAAGCCGAGCUUGAGCCUAAAUUUAGGCUCGAAAUUAAUUUCAAGCCGAAUUUGAGCUGACAUAAGCUCGCUCGAGCUCGGCUCGUUUCCACCCCUAACUGCAGCACAUUAAAGGAUGAAAGAUUGGAAGAGUUUUAGAUUUUUUGAAUCUUUCCAAACAUAAAAAUAUGUGUUUUUGCAUUUUUGGACACCAUAACUUCAAACUAAGCUUAUAGAAUUAAUUUUAACUGUAAAUUAUUUUAAGAAAAAAUUUCAAAUAUCAUUCCUGUGGUUUCAUAUUUUUUCACUUUAGUAUCAUGUGGUUUAAAAUAUAUUAAUUUAGUAUCCUGUGAUUUUAUUUUUAUUUUUUUUAUUAUCAAUUUCACUAAUUUUUUUCGUUAAAUCAGUGACAAAGUUAAAACUAAAGGGUAAUAAAAUAAAUAUUUAAUAAACCUAGAUAGGGUAUGUGAAGUUUUUGUAUAUAAUUUAAUAAAAUAAUUAACGAAAAAACUGACGAAAAGAUAAAAAUGAAAUUAUAGAACACUAACUUGAUACACUUCAAACCACAGCAUAGUAAAGUGAGAAAGUGCGAAACCACUGGGGUGGUAUUUAAAGUUUACCCUUAUUUUAAAUCAGCUAUUCAAUCUCCUAAAAAUUUGAUUUUACUAUCUUAUCUUUUAAUUUGUUUGAUUUGAGUCAUUAACUUCAAAACUUUAAAUUAAUUAUUUACUUUAAUAAAUUUAUUAUUAUGAGAAUUGCAUGAAGAAUAUAUUAAUUAAAUAUAUAAAAAUCAGAAAUGCAAAUAAAUUUAAAUGUUAAUUAGAUAGUAAAAUCAAAAUUUUGGAAGGAUUGAAUAAUCGAUUCAAAAUGAUUCAUAGUUCAGAUAAAUUUUGUAUAUUUUACUAUAAAAAUUUUAAUUAAACAAUAAUUAAAGUUUCUUCAGCAAAAUUAAAAAUACCAGAACAAAAUUAAAAGAAAAUCCCCUAUUUUGGGUUCCUCCUAUUAAUUAAUGUACAUAAUAAUAACAAAUAUAAUACAAGCCAGGUAGAUAUAUAUUGUCAUGCGUACGUUCAAUAAUUAGUUCUCAUUAUUAAUUCUUUAUACAAAAAUGUGCUCUUGUCCCCUCAUAUGAUUGGGGUGCCAAUUUGCAUUAUAAGACACGGUUGAACAUUAAUUUUUAGAGUCGAUAUAUAUAUUGCUGAUAAAUUGAUAAAUAUGUAUUAUACUUUACAUCUAUUUAAUAGAAAAUAAGUUCAAAAAGUAUAUUUAAUAUUUCAGUUAUGUGCAUGAUAAAUUUGAAAGACAUGUAAAAUUGACAGAUGAGAUAAAAUAAAAAAAUUUAGAAUCAUUUUUGAUAAAUAAAAAGCUGGCUCAAAUAUAUGCUUGAUAUAUAUAAAAUAUUUUUAAACUGUGCGUAAAAACUUAUUCAUACAUUAUUUAUGUAUUCUAAGGAAAAAAUAAAAAUAAAAAGACUUAUGGAAAGCCUAAGCAAUUUUUAGGAGUUCUCCAGCAAGAAAGAAAGGCUGAUAUAAACCAUGAAAUUUAUUUUACUACUUAUAUAAAGAUAAAAGCAUAUAUAACUUAUCUGAGUUACGGACUAUUUUGAGUUGACUUAUCAAAUCUUUCAACAUUUUGAUUUUACCUUCCAACCUUUCAAUUUGUUUAAUAUGAGUAAGUCAAUUAACAUUACUUUGACUUUAAAAUUUAAAUGCGUCAUUUAUCUUUACAAAUUUAGCUAGUAUAAAUCAUACAAUUUCACAACUAUAAAUUCAUUAAAAUAGAUAAUUAACUUAAAUUUUAAAGUCAAGAACAAAUACAUUGAAAAGCUAGAUAGUAAAAUCAAAAAAUUUUAAAAAUUAGAUAGUCAAAUUAAAGUAAUCUAUAAUUCAGAUAAGUUUUAUACGUUUUUAUCUAGAAAUUAUCAAUGUUUUAAGGAUCGGAUCGAAUAGCAAUUCGAAAAUAUUAUUGGGUCAAGAGUCACUACUUCGACAAAUGGAUCAUGUCACCGCAACAUCAUAAAUAUUUAUUUAUUAUUUUCAAAUUUUAUUAUGUUAAAAAAUAUUCAUAUAUUAGUGAUUCUACUAUCAUACUUAAUUAUAAAUUAUUAAUUUUUAAACUAAAUUAAGUAAAUAUAAGUUUUCAAGUUUUAAUUUUUGGAAUACUAAUCUGUGCUAAAAGAAAAUAAAAUCAGCCAUUGGAUUUUAACCGGAUCACCAAUUUGACAGUUGAACUGUCCAUUCAGAUUGUUUAAAAUAAUUUUUUAACUUAUUCGAUUUAGAGAGUUGAACUGAACUGCUUUAUGAAUUCGAUCACGUUCAGAUAAGUACAAUCGACUAAUUUCACCCGAUUUUUAAAUUAUUAUUAGAAAUUAUAAAUUAGCGGCGCACAUCCGCCCGCCUCCUCAAGUGGAGAGAGCUCACAGUGAUGGAAUGCAGCAAGCAGUUGCGCCGUCGUCUUUUCAAGUGUUGACGGGCGACCAUCCGCCAUUAAUUAUUCGGCUCAUCCGGGCUGGACCACUGGUUGGUGCAACGUUGGCCGGUAGGAACCUACUGCUUGGACAGGGCUCACCAUGUCAUCCAUAGACCACACUUUUUUUUUAUUUUUCCUUCCUUUUAAUCUGUUCUCUGUAAUCACAUAACUUUUCAUUCCAAAAUACGAAUGUACGCACACUCUGAAACCUACAUUAAAAAGUUUGGAAAUUAAAUCUCCGAAGAUACGAGCACAUGGAGGUCAAACUCUCGACCUCUACGAUAUCUACUAUGUACACACUGACGGCAAAUAUAUUUUUUAAAUAGUCCGUGCUCCGCCUUAUAUUUAUGCUAUUUGUUCGAUAGAAAGUCAUUAAAUUUAGAAAUAAAAUUAUUCGACUUAUUAGAAUUUUUCAUAUUAGCAUAUAAGAAGAUAAAAAAUAUUACAACCGCUAACUUUUAUUACUUUUUUAAUUUUGCAAUUAAUUUCGAUAUUAUUCAGGACGAAAUCAGCUAUGGCUCUUAAAAUAGUAGAGUUAUACACGCCAAACAAAGAACAAAAUUUAAUAUUUAUGACCGAAAAAUUACUUCAUUUUUUUUUUUUCUAUUUGUGCACACAUUCUUAUGGAAUAGAGUGCCUCCGCAUGGCUGUCCGGUCCAUGGAGAACGUGGUGGACCAGAUUCAGGCAACAACUUCACGUUCAUGGGUGGUUGGGUGAUCCCAAUUGGAGCUGGUGUUUUCACUACCUGCCGUAUCCGUGUGGAGCCCACUCGUCACGCUGUCGGAUCCUUUCCCGCCCAAGUGGAGUACAUUUGAAAAAGAAUUUUUUACAAAAUAACUCCCUAAAAUUUCAUAUAUAAUUUACAAAAGCGGCAAUUUCAUAAUUUACAAAAAGGGCAAUUUACAAAUAGCCUAUCAAAAUUAUAUUUGAAAAAUUAAUCCUUUUUCGCCACAUAGGCGCGUGGGUGGUUCUAUAAAAACGAUGAAUCAUUCUUCGUCUUUCACUUAUUUACUAUUUCUUUCUAUAUCUCAUAUAUAAUACUAACAACCAUAUAAAAAUUUUAACAAAUCAUAUAUAAUCUUAAUAACCUGAAAAUUUUAAUAAUUUAUUCAUAUAAUUUUAUAUAAUCUUAACAUCUUAAAAAUUCUAAUAAUUUAUUCAUACAAUUUUAUAUAAUCUUAACAGUUUGAAAAUCCUAAUAAUCUAUNUCUUAAAAAUUCUAAUAAUUUAUUCAUACAAUUUUAUAUAAUCUUAACAGUUUGAAAAUCCUAAUAAUCUAUUCAUACAAUUUCGUAUAAUCUUAGCAACCCGAAAAUUCUAAUAAUCUAUCCAUACAAUCUUAACAAUCAAAUAAAAAUUCUAAUAAUCCACGUAUAGUUCUAACAACCUCACUUUUUUCUAUUUAUCGCCUUUAAAAGAAAUAGGAGAAUGCGGUGAACGAUGGGAGAAUGCAGGGAACAAUUUACUACGUUUAAAAGAUAUAAGAGAACGCGGUAAACGAUUCAUCGCAUUUAGAAAAAAAACCCACGUGGCUCCUACGUCGCGAAUAGAGGGUUAGUUUACUAAAUAUAAAUUUGGCAGGAUUAUUUCACAAAUAAUAAAAUUUUGGAGAGUUAUUUUAUAAAAAAAAGUCUUUUGGAAAACCUUUAUUAAUUAUAUAUAAACUUAAAAUAAAAUUUUAUACAUUUUUAUAAAUUUUAUGAAAAUAAUUCUUUAACCCGCUAAAAAUUCUAAUAUUUUAAUUUAAUAGCUAUUUUAUCCUUAAGUCUUAGUCCACUGUGAUUCGUAAGGAACUACAGUUUUCAUAUCGUAUAAUAAUGAGAACAGUAGUGAUUGGAGUGAUAGUAAAGCGCAAAUUGAAGGAAAGCAGACGAGAGUAGUUGAUAGAGAAAUCAGUAGGUAUGGAGACCCAAAAUUUUAUCGAAACCUGUACGGAGCGGUUUUAUUCGAUACUAAAUAGAUACAAUUUCAAUUACAGAUAUAAAAAAUAAAAAUCAACGAAUUUCAAGUUCAGGUAUGGGUUUUGUCUAUACCCAAUCCGAACCCAUACCUGAAUAGAUUUUACAUUAUAUAACAUGUGAAAAAAAAUAUUUUUUUUUAACUAUUGGAUCUUCAUUCAAUGAUAAAUAAUGAUUAUUUUACUAGUCAAAUCCUAAUAGAUCUCCAAUCCGGUCGGUAGGCCGUUUUAAAUCUCCCAUUGUUCUUCUCCUCCCUCAGUUUUUACUGGCAUACCCAAAGAAGGUGUAGUGCUUCUUCUUUCGACCCUUCCCAGAAAUCCUAACGACCUCAUCAAGCGGUUUGCAUCCUUUGGUAAAUCGUUUGCUUCUUCAUCCUCUUUUGCCUUUCCCUUAUCGUCGUUGACCGCACCACCACCACCACCCCCUCAUUUUCACUUCUUGCCGUUUGAGCUCUCCCUCUCCCUUGCCCUCUCCAUCUUUUCUUUGUCGUCGUCAUUCACAUGAAGAUACUUCUUACUUUUCUCUUUUCUCUUAGUCGCUUUGCACUCAUUGUCGCCGGCUCUUGCUAUGAUCACUUCGGCUCAUGUUUGCCUUCUUUGUUGCUGGUAGAGACAUAGGUGAAGUCGGUUUAGGUUUUCGAAUUUGGGCUUGGGCUUAGAUUUGGGUUUGGGUUUGGGUUUCGAAUUUUUGUUCGGGUUUGGUUUUGAAUAUAUUGGGGUGAAAAUGGUUAAAUACUGUUGGAUAUUUGAUGAGAAACCAUAUACGCAUCUGUAUUUUUCCAAGUGCAAAUUUGGAUAUAGAUAUGCGUUGGAUGCUAAAUCUUUAUUAUCUAUCCAUUAAAGACAUAUUAGGAUAUGAUUGGAUAUUUUUUUGGACUCGCAUACGAAUCAGAUUUAUAUUCAAAUAUUAUUUGGAUAAUUAUAUACACUAAUAUGGAUAUAUAAAUAUGAACUAGAAUUAUGUCACAUCCGGUCUCCAGCAAAAGCACGUCCAACGUGUGCACAGACCCGCUGUGUACACCAAGCACCCCCUGAUGCACACAAGGUGUCUAAAACAACUAAAGAAAGAAGUAGGAAUAAAUCCUAAACAAGAUGAUGAGAGCAAAAGUAUAUAAUUCUACGACAUAAACAAGUCUAAUACAAAAACACAUUCACAAGAUGUAAAAUAAGUUGAACAAAAGGUACAUCUUGAAUGCUAGAAAAUCUUUAAAUAAAAUACAAUUAUAUAUACUUCAAACUAAACCAAAAGAAUGAUGUCAAUGGGUCCAUCUAUAGCAACACCGAAGAGGCUCUAGCUAGUCGCUAACCCCUUACCACGAUCCCUAGCCUCUCCUGUUGAGAAAGGCUCUAAAACAAAAAUAAGCAACCAAUGGGGGUGAGAACUAUUAAACAAUAAUUUUCAGUGGAUAAGCCGCCAAGAGUAGCGAAAUACAUUAUUAGGUUAACUCAGGCAAUAACAAUAUGUAAUAGAAAAACAAAGCACAUAGAUAAUAUUUAAAAUGAAAUGGUUUAAAUACAGUUAUGCCUCUACGUGACAAUGUCUACUAAUAUGGAUGUGGUUCUCUCGCUGUCAUAUUGUACAAGUAUAAAUAUACAAGUUUACAUGUAUGUCCAUCUUUAUGCUAAGAGCAAUAGUUAAAGACAUUUUUUUUAUUUUUCAUAUAGCUACACUACUAUACUGAUCAAUAUGUGUAUAGAUUUACUACUAUUAAGUUUGCCAAUAAAUAAUAACCAACUUGAAUGUCCAUCUACUAUGUAGGCAUCAACUAGUUCUGAUGUACAAUGUCACAAAGUAAUAAUCAACUUGAAUGUCCAUCUAUUAUAUACGCAUCAACUAGUUGUGAUGUAUAAUGUCAUAUUUAUUUAACUUUUAUCCAAUCAACAAGGGACUUACGCAUGGUAACAUCCUAGCUUGUGCCGUACCUAAUGGUCCUGUGGUAGUCAACAUUUUUCCUCUAGAAAUGAGUCUUGCAAACGGCAUUCCAUUUCGGUGCCCAAUCCCGCAGGGGCGAUUAGUCGUUGCAAAGGGUAAUUCCGGAGUGCCGACUUGUAGGGAGCGACCCUUCCAAGCUUGUAUGAAUGAGUACAAAGGUAAGUAAGCGUGAUCAUAUGCGUCAUGUCCAAGGCUAUAGGUUUCGAUCAUUACGUUUAAAAUAUGGAAUCUCAAUCAUCGUGUAAUAUACCGAAACUUUGGUAGGUUAUAUCGGACUUUAGUCAAAUUGACCAAAGUGCGUCGAGAGAAAUGGUUGGACGAAGUCCAUUUCAUAUUCCAACAAUGUUGGAAGGGUUAAAGUUGAGUUCCAAGUGUGAUAGAAAGAUUUUAGCAUUGCUCGAUGCGAAAAGGAACCGAGCACUCCCAAAACUAUAAUCUGGGCACUGCUUAACCGGUGAAGCACCAGGGCAGUACCGGUACCAGGCAGGCCACCCGAAAAGGCAGCUCUCGGGUUUGGUCACUACGCUACGGCGUACCGGUGACGGCCCCGAUGCGUACCGGUACCCCGCAGCAACUCGAGAACAGCAGCUCUCGGGUUUGGCCUGUUGAACAGAAGCGUACCGGUGACGCCCACCCACGUACUGGUACGCAGUGCUGCGAACAGCAGGGUGAGUCUACAGCAAAUAAAAUUGUUUGGAAGGUUUAUUUGCUAUUAUGGCAGUAUAUAAAAAUACCCCAACCUCUCCUCUCUCAUUCACAGCAGUGAGAACACCUUCCUCUCUCAUUUCUCUCCCUCUCUCUCUCUAGGAACUCUCUUAAAGGUGGAUCAAGAGGAGAUUUGAAGGUGGAUUUGGUGGAGAAAAAGGCAAAGGAGUGAAGCUAUCUCUUCUUCUUCUUCUUUAGCUCAAGGAAAGGAAAGCUCUUGAGGUAAGCUCCAUGAGCUCUCAUGGUAGAUAUCUAGGGUUUGGUUUAAAUGCCCUAGAAAUAAUUUUAGAUGGAUCUCUAGAUGAUUUUAAGCUUGUUUUUGCUUAUCUCCAAGAUCCAUUUGGUGCUUAUGCUUUAGGACAUUGUCAGGGCACCAAAAUUGGAGCUUUUGUUCUAGAUGGGUUUUAAUGUAAAUUGACCUUGUAGAAACCUAAUUGAAGGUAUUUCCGACGCGUUGGUGGACUCGGUUCGAAGAUCCAACGAGUCUACGCAUAAAACCUCAUUUCGACUUCGUUUGCCGUAGUCGGAAGAAAUAAACACCCAAAAAUCACGAAAAUUGAACCGUAGCACCUUAGCAACCAUACGAGGUGGGUGGUGCUUUUCGAAAUCCUCGAAUGUGUAUAUUGGGCUUCAUGCAUUGUAGGGUAAGUUGAGCAUAUAUUGGUUGUAUGUUUUUAAUGUUUUUAAUGCUAGUGCAUAUGAAAUGUUGUGAACUAUAGAAAACUUGUAAAAUCUUAUGUAUGCAUGAAUGAUGACAAGAAUAUAGAUGAGGCAAAGAAUCUAGUGCAUUAAAGAACAAGUGACAUUAUGACAUAAAUGAUUGAGUGUUGAAAGUGUGGCAUUAGUGAAUAUAUAUUGAAUGCUAAAGAUGAACACCUAGUGUGUGGCAUUAAAGAGUCAAGAAUACUAGUGUACAAGUGUGGCAUUAACAAGAACAAUAAAUGCAAGAAAAUGAGACACUAGAUGUGUGGCAUGAGUAAGAACAUAGAAUGCAAGAAAUUGAGAUAGUUGACAUUAUGACACAACGUGGCAUAACAUCCUUAUAGUUAAGGGUCAAAUAAGCAUUGCAUCCUUACAGUUAAGGAAAGAAUUGAACUUGAAAAUCCUUAUAGUUAAGGAUUGGAUCAUACUCGCCAAGUUUUGGCUUGAGGGCAGUCGCACCCCUCGAGCGAUGAGCUCCGAGUAGUCAUCAUUGGGUCGUAGUAGUCUCCCCCGAAGACGGUCCCAUCGGGUAGUAGUAGUCUCCCCGAUGCUUGGGAUUAUGAGUUGGUGAGUUGUAGGCAAACCUACGGGUUAGCCAUGAGAUUGGGUAUUGAAAAUGUGAUCUUGCAUGCAUCAUGAGCAUUCUAUUUGAGCAUCAUUGUUGAUUAUAUCUUGUUCAGACAUAUUAGAUGUAUUUGUAUAGUUUGGUUACUAUCUAUCUGUUUAUUCUUCUAUUAUGCCUGAUUUAGACCUAGUGAGAAAGUCGGCGAGGUCGGCGGCCGAACUCACUGGAAACUUUGUUGUAGUUCUCACCCCACUAUUUUUCAUAGCUAGGACCGAGUGAGCCGGCCGACGAUCGCGGUAAAGGUAUCGCGCCAUAGACAGUGACCACCCGAGAUGGUUUUAUACAUGUACCCUCUUUAUAUCAUCUUCUGUAUUUGAUGAUCAUAGAUGUUAAAUGUAAAAGCUUAUUUUGGAGAUCAUGUGAUAUAAAAGAAUUGAUGAAUAGAAUGUAAAAGAAUUUAAAAUUUGAAUGCAUAUAUGUGUGUGGUUAAAAGUUAAUCAUAGUACUUGUAUGGAUGUUUAGUUUAGAAUAUUUUACUUUUGGCUACUGCUUGCCCUCGUGCAAGCCAUGUAUGGAUAUUUUCCCUUGUGCAAUCUAUAUAAUUGAUUUGAACUUGUGUUGAGCCUUGGGCGGACAGGGGAGAUACUGUCCAUUCAGCGUCUGUUCGACGUGCCCGAACCGACCAAAUAGGCCGGUCUCGGGGCGUGACACAUCGACUCAAGGAUCUGGUACUAUAACAUAUAUGUUACAAUCCUGUUUUCAAUCAAUGUGGGAAUGCAUCACCUACCAAUAUGCAACAUGUUUCAAGUAUGUGAAGGUUUACAACUCUUUAUCUCUCAUGCAUAAUCAUGGGGGGUUACAAGUGUAUACUAUUUUCUCUAUAGUAUGUAAGAUAACAAUUUACUAACGCCAUAUUCAAAGAAUACGAGGAUGUCAACCAAGUUCAUAUUUCAUGUUAGACAUGUGCCUUACUAUAUGAGCCUCUACCAUAUAGAAAAGAAAGUUUAUUAUGCAAGCAAUUACUUUUCAUUUGACUAAGCAAUUUUAUACAUUUGCCAUUCAUGUCUUCUUAAUCAAGUCGUUUCAUUGAGCUUGUGAUGUUAAAUGCACUUGAUAGCCCAACUAUAAACAUACCUAUAGUAUGCAUGAGGGUAAUAUAUCCAAUUACUAGAACAAAUAUAGAGGAUAGGUUCCCAAACAACUCAUAUGUUAUAUGACAUGGAUGCAUUUUAUCUCAUAUAACUCUACUACAUAGAGCGUAUAAAUUUUCAUGUGAAGUAUAACCAAAUCAUAUGCUCAAAAAUUCAAUAAUGCUAUAAGGUGCACAGUAAACUCUUUAUUAAGUUCUAUAACAUAAUAGGAGACAUAGAGGGAGUUCACCCAUUUCGGUGAAUCAAACUCACCGGAUAACCUUUGAAAACUUGAUCGUUUCCCAAACGAAGUUGUCCUCUAGACUUCUAGCAUUCUAAAAAUUUUUUUUCAAGAAAUUACAAGCUUCUAAAAGGUUUACCACGAAUUCACCAAAUCAAGUAGAAAAUAGAUAAAAAUUAUCUUAAUCCAAAAAAAACUUAUGCAAAGCUCAAAUCAAUGUAAUGGAGCUUCAAAACCAAACUACAAGAGUGUUCAACACUCAUCAAUUCCACUCCAAAAGCUCAUAAAACGAAAACCCCAAAACAAACCCUAGUUUCUACAAAACUAGAUUUUCUACCAAAAUCUCUUGCAAAUCUCCCAAAUAGAGAGUACAAGGAUGCUACUAACCUCAAAUCAAGUGUCAAACCAAGCUAUGAGGUGUUAGGGGAAGAAAAAGAUCAAACCCAAAUAUUAGAGAGUUAGGGAAAGAAAUUCAAGAGAGAUAAGAGAAAGAGCUCACUUCUUCUCUUCUCUUUAGCUUCGGCACAAAAAGAACAAUGAGAGGGAUGAAGGAAUAUAUUAUAUGAUAUAACAAUAUCCCGUAAGGGCCCUCAAAAACUCAAAAAGUUGCAAAACUGCACGAAAUAGUUUUUGCAGCAUUGAGUACUGAACCCACCCAAUGCAGUACCGGUACUCGGUUUAGUACCGGUACAUAGAGCCAAGUUCCGCAAAACCUGAGAGCUCUCAAAUCUAACACUCAACUGGGUUCUGGUAUCCAGUCUAGUACCAGUACCCGAGAUAAAAACUGCAAUUUUAUAGAUUUUGAUCUUCGGAGUCCGUUUUUGCGCUUAUUAAGCCUCGAGAACACUCUUAAGCUCUCCAAAUUUAGUCAAAAUCUUUAGAAUAGUAUAAAGUACUAUUCUCUCACUAAAACUCCGCAAUUUGAUGAAGUUCAGUGUGCUACAAAUUAGAAGGAAUAAAACACAAUAUAACUAUAGUUUUACACUCAUGUUCAAACUUUAUAUGUCUAUAUUUUAUUCAAUAACAUAUAAGACUUGACAAUUAUAAAGCAAUUUUAAUAUGAAACGUAGGGCCGUUUGGUUUAAGGUUUGUAUGUCAUGAUCCAAGUCCGCCAAUUGGGACUGCUCGAGCAUAUGCAACAUACCCGCUAAACAGGCAAGAUUUGUUCUAUUUGCAUGAAGCGGAACAUUUACAAACAUGUACGAAGCAUAUAUACUAUGAAUAUAUAAAGCAUCAGAGUAAUACUACUGAAUUUAACCAUUACAAAUUUAAACUCUUUAAAAUUUAUAUUCCAAUGCUCUCCAAAACAUAUAAUAGUUUUGCUUGUACAAAAAGGGUACUUUUAAACUAAUCAUGGUUUAUCUACUCUGCAACGCUCUUGCCGUGGUCCCGCGCCUUAUCGGUGAUAGUAGGAUUUGAAAAACAACAACCACAAAGAGGUGAAAAUUUUAAAUAAGUUCUUAGUAAGUGGAACUGAUGAAAGUGGCACUCUACACUCACUCGGUCCAACAAAGGCAUUAGUAGCAAGUAAAUAACAACAACUAUUACUACAAUAAAAAUGCAAUAAGCAAGAAAUAUCUAAUAUGCCUCAAUAUAUACAAUAUGCCACUAAAUUUAUUAUGUCCUUUACCUACACAUACAUCUCAAUUAAUCCUUUACUUUAACCAACUUAUUAGUUUAAUAUCAUUUCUUAUUAGAACUCAUGGGAAGUUAAUUACUCUUGGACUUCUCUCUAAUCGGUAGGUAAAUAGGGUCGAUUGCUCUUUUACUCUCCUAAAUAUCUCAGCGGGAGUUGAUUGCUCUAGAACUUUUUCUCUCUUUCUUUGACACUUUUGGAAGGUCGCACAUAUUUUACCACAUUGUUUGUUUUUCAUUUUGUUAUUCUCUAGUUCAUAUUUAGCUUAAAAUUCAUAUACCACUAUAUUUACACCUUAGGUUUCAACUUAAGUUGAAUGCCACACUUGUUCCCUAUGUUCCAAUAUUCACAUAAUAUUUUAUGCAUGUCUCAAAUCUCUCUCUCUCUCUCUCUCUCUCUCUCUCUUUUUACUAUCCAAAGAUUAGAAACCCUAUUUUUGUUAAGUCAAAUGCUAAGAAUACAUCUUGACCUACAAGAUCUACUAGCAUACAACUAUAAUGCAUUCUAGCUUACAUAUUAUAUAUAAUACAUAAAUGCAAUUAAAAAAAACUUUAUAUAAAGAAAAAAUCAAAUCCAUUUCGGUGUUUCUCCUUUCUCUCGAUUCUUCAAGAAGAGAUGCUUCUUGACCUCUUAAGAAUGCCAAAAAAAUUCUAAAAGUAGCUCUAACAAAGUCAAAAAAUCCAUCAUUUCAGAUAACUUCAAAACAAAACUCUAAAAAUACCAACUCAACUGUCCACCUCAUAGCACAAAGGGUUAAGAGGGUUGUCUUCAUCUUAGCUAAGCUCUCCAUUUUUGAUAAUUUGAAAUUUUUUAGCCGAAGUAAUGGGGGUAGAGAAAUGAUUUACGAUGACAUGGAGGAGGGAGGGGGGGGGGGGGUGGAAUGAUUUACAAUGAAGAUAAAGCUAGUCUUGGUGAAACUGAUGGGAACCUACGGCGAGCAGGAAAAAAUGAUGUUAAUCACCAACCGCAUUGAUUAGAAGAAUCGUUCCACAAUUUAGAGCAGUAGUUGCACUAUUGUGUCUGCAGUAGCUCUAUAUUGUGGGUAUAAUACACUAUCUUAAUAACCUAUUGCACUAUAUAGAAAAAUCAUUACACUAUUUAGAGUAGUUGUUGCACUAUUGCAAUCGAAGUAGCACUGAAUUAAAGGAAUAAUGCACUGUUUUAGAUUUUAUGGCACUGUUUCCAUUUAAGUUGCACAACUUGUUUGCCAUGUGGUACCAUGUUGCAAAUGCACGACUUGUCUUCCUCCUCCCCUUCCUACCCGUAAACCCUUCUACUUCUCCAUCCUGCUAUACUUUUUCCUCUUCUCUUUUGCAAACAGUGAGCGCAGCGAAGAGCGUUGGAAUAAAAUACCAGACGUGUGGCAAAAAAGGAUAUGAAGAUAGAUAGCAGCAUAGAGGAGGACAAGUACUACAACACAAUUAGGUUAUAGAGACACAUGUUUGGGACACUUUUGAGUAAGUGUCCCAUUUAUGCUAAAACUUAAAAAAAUAUUUACUUAUGCCUAAAUAUAAAGCCCAAUCUAACCAAAAUAAAAGAUUACUCUACUCAACCCACCACACCCAGUCCAUUUGACCAGAUUACAAACAGAAAAGAAAAAAAAAAAGAAAAAUCAAUUACCAUCUUUUCUUCUCUCUUCACUCAAUCCACUGAAAUUAUAGACGAAGAGCCUUUCCUGUCGUCCUCCUCCGCCACCGCAGCCAACGAGAUAGAGUUUCGGCGGUUGCUAAAUGCUUAAAUAAGUGUUGGUAAAUUAGCAGCACUCUUUUAGGUUAUAGCGACACUCUUUAACUGUCACUAUAUACCUAGCGACCCCACAUAUAGCAACACUUUUUAAAAGUGUCGGUAAUUUUAGCUAGCAGCACUUUUUUGACAUGUACCUACAUUUAAAAGUGUCGCUAUAGACCAUUUUUGUUGUAGUGAAGGGGUUUAGAAAAAGGAAUAAGCAGCACGGGACGACGAAGAGAGGGUCGUUGGGAGAGCGGAAGAAGAAUGACGAUGGAGUGGCAUAUUGCACUGAUCGGGGUGAGUGGACAGAGUUGCACUGGUUUGAGCAACGUAUUGCACUUUUUGAAGUUUGUUGCACUGCUUUACAUUACGUUGCACCAUUUGCCUCGCUUGCUGCCUGCGUUAUCUUCUUAAUAUAGCUUGAAAAAAUUUAUUUUGGAUUAAAAAGAACACCAAACAUCAGGGCUGACAAGUAGCAUGGAGCGAUUUGGCUCGAAUUUUGAAAACGUGGAGGUUGUAUAAUUUAGCGCGGACCGCAUUUAGGGCUUGUUUGUUUGCAAGGAAGUGGAGUGGAAGUGGGAGGGAGGAAGUGAUUUUCGGUAAAAAUCGACCACUUUCGUUGUUUAGUUCACCAUAAAAAAGUUACGGUUGAAGAUCUAGUUAACUAAAACAGCGUAAUUGACUUCAGCCCAUCGUGGGCCGAAGUCAAUUACGGUGAAGAGAGGUGAAGAAAAAUAAUAAAAUAAUAUACUAGGUAAAGAUAAUUAUAUUCAAAUAUAUAUUUAAUUAUGGAAUUAAUUAUUCUUUUAUUUAUUUGGCAUAUUUAAAAUAUGAUAAAAAUUGAUUAGUUAAGUUUUAAUAUUUUUUAUUUUGUUUGUACAAUAAAAUAUAAUAAAAAUUAAUUAAUUAAAUAUUAAUAUUUUUUAUUUUAUAAUUUUAUUGUUGUAUUACUAUAAUUUAGUAUAAAAAAAAUAAUUUAGUUGCUUUAAAUUAAGUUUUAAUUAUAUAAAAAUAUAAUUAUAUUAUUUUAUUUAUUAAAUUAUUUAUUAUUUAUAUAUAAAUUAUAGUUUUAUAUUUUACACUUCCUACCAAACAAACAGUAGAAGUAAUGAAACUUUACUUUCAUAAUUAUAAAACAAACGAAGAGGAAGUAGUUAUCACCGAACUCUACUUCAACCCAAAGUCUACUUCAACCUAAAGUCUAGUUUCGAUAAAACAAACAGGCCCUUAAUACCCGUCCAGACGAUAUACAGUAUAAGUAGACGUAUAUGAGGAGAUACGAAUAAGGCGGAUGGAGACGGGGAACAUUUUUAUUAGAUGGUUGAAAAUUCAGAUGGAAUUUGUAAAAUCCAGUAAGGCGACCUAUGUUUCAAAAUCUCCAAACUAGUGGGAUUUUAAUGCAAAUUGGCUUUUUAUUAAUUUAUUUAUUAAUUAAUUUAUUUUUUUCCCCCACACUCUCUCUGCAGCUUCCACGUGACGUGCUUUAAAAAGCGCGCCUCUGCCACCCAAUACAAACAAACCAACCCCACGACCAUUUACACCCCCACACCCGUCCGCCCCCCACUCUCCGACUCUGUCGGUGGCUCUCUCCUUUCUUAUCUCGCACAAGCAAGCCCCUACUCCCACCCAAUAAGGGGAAAAGGGGACGACGAGGACGCGGAGGAGCAACAAACCCUAACGUCCGUUCCCUCAUUCCUCGACGCUCCGAGGCUAGGGAGAUCUAGGGUUAGGGUUAGGAGGGCUAGGGUUUGCGCCGUCGUUGUUGUUGCGAAGAAGAUGAGGGAGAUCAUCAGCAUCCACAUCGGCCAAGCCGGGAUCCAGGUCGGCAACGCGUGCUGGGAGCUCUACUGCCUCGAGCACGGCAUCCAACCCGAUGGGAUCAUGCCGAGGUCUCAAUUUCCCUCUCAAUCAUCAGAUCCCGCUUUUCCACUACUCGGCUUUUGUGGUAGAUGUUGUGGAUGGGUGUUGAUGAUGCUGCUCGAAUUUUCUGCGAUUUUUUCUUGUUGUUUUUCCCCCUUUUUUUGGGUUUUCAUCGGUUCUUAUUGGUGAAAAAUGUUGUGAAUGUGUCCUGUUGCUCGUCGAAUUUCUUCAAUUUAUGGGGUUUUUUCGUUGAUUUUUUUGGUGCUCAUGUUGUCAUCAAAUUGCUUUUACAGAGGAAUAUGCCGGAUCCGUAGAUUUAAUCUAAGGUUUCGUUUUGAUCCAAAUAAAAUGAUGAAUAUAUUUGAUUAAUUGAUGUUUGAAACAGGAAAUAAACAAUGAACGAGAGAUUUGCAAAUGUUGUUAUCUUUUACGUGAAUCUAUUAGCAGUUCAGCGUGUAAAUAUAUUAUGUUUUUUUCUUUACAAUGUGGCAAAUACUUGUUUUUUUUCCCCUACUUUUUUCAGUCCCUCUCUUUUUCUUUCCUUUUUUUCUCAAAUCUUUCGGAGCUUAUUCGCUUUUACUGGUAAUUGUUGAUUUUCUUUUGAACUUAAUUGUUUUUUUUUUUUUUUUUUUUUGAGGAAAGCUUCUUCGUUCGUUGCAUCAAUGUUUCUUGUGUUUCUACUCUUUUUUCGUUUUUAGUACUUGAAUCCCUAAUUAUUGCCAUCAACUUGCUUUCCGAAGAAGAACUUUCCUGAUUGUGAAAUGGUCCGUUAGAGUAUAUCCGUAAACGGUUCCACAUCUAGAUCCAGAUCUGGAUCUGGAUCUGGGUCAAUAAAUUUAAUCAGGGUUUGUUUUCGUAGUAUUAAAGAUCUGUUUGAUCAAAUACAACUCAGGAGGUAAUAGAGAUCCAUUUGAUCUGAUAAAACUAAGGAUUCUAUUCAUUUUUUGUUGUUCUCUUUCAUGUGAUCUAUGAGCAGAUUAGGGUGUAAAUACAUGUUUCUUUCGAGAAAAUAAACGGGAACAGAUGUUUGAUAUAGUUCCAAGAUCUUGUAUAAUUGGGAGGUUCCUCUUCUGUUUCGUGCCGAGGGAACGUUGCUGACAUACUUGAUUUUUUGCUUACAGUGAUACAUCGGUUGGAGUGGCCAAUGAUGCUUUCAACACGUUCUUCAGUGAGACUGGUGCCGGCAAGCACGUGCCGAGGGCCAUCUUUGUGGACUUGGAGCCCACCGUCAUAGACGAGGUCCGCACCGGAACUUACCGCCAGCUCUUCCACCCAGAGCAGCUUAUCUCCGGCAAGGAGGAUGCGGCCAAUAACUUCGCUCGUGGCCACUAUACUGGUAAUCUUUCUUUCUUCUAGUCUUGUCCUACUGAAUUUGCUUGUAAUGGAGUUCCAUGUAAAAGUAAAAUUGUAUGGACUCGAAGUAUAGUGUAUUUUAAAUGGGUACCUAAAAGUAUACAAAUUUUUUAUAAUUGUACCUAACCUUCUACGUAACCUUCUAUCCAACCUUGCAAUAUAAUUGAUUGAAUAACCUCACUGUUAAAACUUAACAGUGUUUUUUAAUUUUCUUAAUGAAAUAUUCUAGAUCUUAAUGGAAUAUAUUGUUACUUACCAGAAUGUUAAAUUUGUACUAUAACACAAGUAAUAGAGGAGUAAAAUGAAAGGUUUUAACAUUCAGGUAUUUAGAUCUGUACAUUUUUACCUAAAGUAAAAUAUUGGACUUCUUUGAAAGCUUACACUCCUAGAUAAUGAUGUAAAUCAAUUUUGUAUUUAAGAUAAUGGUAUUGUAAAUUGAUUUUGUGUUAACAAUCUCCCUCAUGUGUUGGUAGAUUUUGAUGCGGUCCCAGUAUGUGAUUGGAAACUGGAUUGGUGGAAAUUAAGUGAAACUAGAGCCUUGAAACUUGAAAGAUUUGGAUGCAAGAUCAUUUGACCUAAUGCCAUGUUAAUGAAUUGAGAUUCUUUUUAUUAGGCCCGUGAUUUAGACUUUAAGUUAACAGAUUUUUUUUAAAAAAAAUGUAAAUGACGGAUUGACCUGGUGGAUGUGGACUCAAGGCCUUCUGCUCUAGAAUGACAUAAAAAACAUAAAAGCUUAAGCUACUAUAUAAGUGUGGUUUUAUUGGUGUGAUGCAGUUGGGAAGGAGAUUGUCGAUCUCUGCCUUGAUCGUGUGCGGAAGUUGGCGGACAACUGCACUGGCUUGCAAGGCUUUCUAGUCUUCAAUGCUGUUGGUGGUGGUACUGGAUCUGGAUUGGGGUCUUUGCUGUUGGAACGAUUAUCUGUGGAUUAUGGGAAAAAAUCCAAGCUUGGUUUCACCAUCUAUCCUUCCCCACAGGUUUGAAUUGUUUGAAGUUCAUUAUAGUUUUGCAUGAAUGCGGAAAACCGUGGUGCUUAGUUCCUUUAAUUUCUUUGUAGGCUAAUUUUUAUGCGUCAUUUUAGUUUUCUGCUAUAGAAAUAUGUUGUUCUUAACAUAACUUUCUGCACUUGUGCUUUGCAUUUGAAGAUAUCUCUAAUUAUUAUGUUUAUCUUGUUUAGAGGCAUGUUGUGCAGAGAGAAGUUCCACUGGACAAAUUGCCAUCAGGGAAAAUUUUAAUUUAAACCAAGAUGCAUCCGAUGAUCUCAUGCUAAUUUCUUACUAGCAUAUGCUUCAUAGGAGAAAUCAUGCUAAUAAGCAAAAUUCCUUCUCUCUUUAAUAGUUUUCCAAGGCAAAUGUAGUUCAAAAUUGUGUGUUCAAUAAGUUGGUCAUUUAAUUUUCAUAAAAUUGAAGUAAAUAUUUUGAUAUAUUAAUGUUAACAUAUUUCUUUUGUUUGGUAUUAAAAAAUACAGUGCAUCAAAUAUUGGGUCACAACUGGGCUAUUAAAAUUUGUGAGCUUUAGUCUUGUUAAAUUGCACAACAGGGCUAUUCAAAUUUGUGAUCUGUACUCUUGUUUAAACAUGCGAAGAUUUUCAUACUGGAUAAUUUGGAUAAAUCGGAUAGUGAAUAAUGUUCCUACAAGUGCGGCAAACUAGAAUGGCAAUUAGAAUCCUUGCUCUCAAUUCUUCUGCUGAACUAUUGGGUGCAUGCCACCAUGAUUUCUCCAUCACAUGCUGCUAUAGGCCAACCCUAGCAUUCAAGUCAUUGUUUACAAGAAUCUCAUGUGUGCAUCUGUGAUUUACGAAAAAGAAUAAGAGAGUAGGUUUUGUCUGGUAUGUAGGGAUGGUUCGUGGUAGAUAUUGGUUGUUUUCUCAUAACUUCCCUCUUUAUUAUUCGAUCGUUGUGUUUUAACUUUUUCAAUAUAGUGACCUACGCUCUAAACCUUCAUAAAUCACAGGUUUCCACAGCUGUUGUGGAGCCCUACAACAGUGUCCUUUCCACUCAUUCCUUGCUCGAGCACACAGAUGUCGCAGUUCUCUUGGACAAUGAGGCCAUCUAUGAUAUCUGCCGUCGAUCCCUUGACAUUGAGAGGCCCACUUACACCAACUUGAACCGUCUGAUCUCUCAGAUCAUUUCUUCAUUAACCACAUCUCUAAGGUUUGAUGGAGCCAUUAAUGUUGAUGUUACCGAGUUCCAGACUAACCUCGUGCCCUACCCCAGAAUCCAUUUCAUGCUCUCCUCCUAUGCCCCUGUCAUAUCUGCCGAGAAGGCAUACCAUGAGCAGCUCUCGGUGCCCGAGAUCACGAAUGCUGUUUUUGAACCUUCGAGCAUGAUGGCUAAAUGUGAUCCCAGGCAUGGCAAGUACAUGGCAUGUUGCUUGAUGUAUCGUGGUGAUGUCGUUCCAAAGGAUGUUAAUGCUGCUGUUGCAACCAUUAAGACCAAGAGAACUGUCCAGUUUGUCGACUGGUGGGUGCUUACUCUCUUUAUCCCUGUUUUUCUUUUAGCUUUGGUUCUUUAGAAGUUGAGUAAUUCUUUGGAAAAUUUAGAUGCCUCUGUUUUAUAGUUUGGCUUUUAAAUUAACACCUAACAGUUAACAGAUUGUAAUGCUUUAGUGCAUCAGUUUGCUGUUCUGUUUGGCCCUAUUAAAACUGAGAACAUGAAAAAUCACAUAACUGAUUAAAUCACUUCAAACAAGGAUCGCUCAGUUUAAUCUAUUGAAUCCUUAUUUAUAGUUAUUCUAAAACCGUAAAAUUGCUACAAAUCCACAUGCUUAUUAAUAAUGUUCAUGCCCUAAUGGGAAAUCUAAAAAGCAAAUUCCGGUAGGAAAGGGAUUUGGUUCGAACCUAAAAAAGUAACAAGCAAUGCAGCUAAAAUGCGGUUGGGGCAUCUCUUGUUUAUAAGUACAUUGCCUGUUUUCUUAUGUUUAGGUGUCCUACCGGUUUCAAGUGCGGGAUCAACUAUCAGCCACCAACUGUGGUCCCUGGAGGUGACCUUGCCAAGGUGCAGCGUGCCGUGUGCAUGAUCAGCAACAACACCGCAGUCGCCGAGGUCUUCUCGCGAAUCGACCACAAGUUUGAUCUCAUGUACGCCAAGCGGGCUUUCGUGCACUGGUACGUUGGCGAGGGGAUGGAAGAAGGGGAGUUCUCCGAGGCGCGCGAGGACUUGGCCGCGCUCGAGAAGGACUACGAAGAAGUCGGAGCGGAGGGUGCGGAUGACGAGGGCGAAGAAGGCGAGGACUUCUGAGCUGUGUUGUGGCGUGCAGUUAGAAGUGUUGUUAGUGAUUGGUUUGUGCAGUAUGUAUACUUUCUCUCUGUUUGUCGCUUUGUUUCGUGCAGCAGAUUGUAUUGUUGUCUUCCUUUGUUUAUGUGCUGUCCGUCCUGGCUCAACAUACUGAGUGAUUGUUGAUAUUUCUUCUGCUUAUUUGUGGUUUGGCAGAGUACUGAUUGUGCUAAAAUGUGUUUUUCUUGUCUUUUCUUUGCUUUGUUCAUUAGCUUCGGCUUUUUAGAGUUGGUUUCUAACAAGAUGAUGACUAUUUUGUUACUGGCGCAGAGAAAAUUUCACUCAACAAUUGUUGUAGGAUAGUAGUGAUUAUUUGAGAUUGAGACACUAGUUACAUGUUAAUGGUUAGGUGCAGUUUCCUCUGCAUUUGUGUUUGUGUGCUACCCUGCUCUUCUUUGGUGUUGCUUCAAACUGUUAAAUACACUGUAAGUGUAUUUAUGCUUGUUUUCAAUUUUUUAUUAUUUUUUUAUUGUCAUGUGGAUUUUAUAGUAAUUAGGAGGUAGUGAUGGGUUUUUUUAGGCUAGUGAGGCUAAUAAAAAUUUCUUAUUAUAAGAGUAGAAAUUUUUAUUAUAGACUAGGUUUAAAAAAGACCGUUUGUUAAAACGGUAAAUUAUUCACUGCUUACACUUAAAUUUUUUUUUUAUAUUUGAACAUAAUUUUAAUAUUUACUGUAUAGAACUAGUUUUAUAAAUAUAUUUUUAAUAAAAUUAUUUUAUAAUUUAUAAUAUUAUUUUAAGCCUAUUAAUAAAACAAAUUUGGUGAUGAUGCACAUUGUUUCUCUUGGUUAUUUGUAUAUUUGUAUUGUGCAUUAGAAAUUACUGUAUACAAUUACUUUAUACAAUUAUUAGCAUCAUUUUAUGCAUAGUUUUAUGGAUAUGAUGAUUAAUUGAGAUUAAGAAAACACCUGCACUAACAUUUUGGGAUUAGCUAGGAUUACGCAGUUUGUUACUUGUGAGUCUACAAAUUGUUUCUCACUUUGCAGAAAUUUUCAGAUUUCGAACUCCACACAAGUAUAUGAAUUUAUAGAUCAUGUAGUAGCCAACAGGAAAACUCAUUUUUAGUCAGAAUAACUUUGCCAUAUUAAUAAUAACAAGCUCACAAAUAAUAAAGACACUAAAUCUGAAGAAUUUCUGCAACAGUUAACGCUGCGCCAUUCAGAAUUUGGCCUUCUCUCUCCUUGCUAGUUUUUUUUUUUUUUUAUUAAACAGGGAUUUACUCUAUUUGUGGAGUACAGUGGAACAAGUAGUAAAAACAGCACCUACAGAAAAAUAAAUUACAUAAGUUGAACCCACAAUCCAAACUCAAUCAUCCCCCCAGGUGGAUCUCCAGGACUCUACUUCAGCUAUGAUGGAUUUUUCCAUUUCUUCGUGCGUAACUCGUCGAUUGCGAAAGAUCCUUGAAUUUCGCUCUUUCCAAAGAGCCCAACAGGCUGUAGUAAAACAGAGGUCGAAUAGUGUUCUUGUUGUUCCCGACAGCAUAUAUCUAUUGCGAUUCCACCGGAUUGGGAUAUCCCCCGUUCGGUUAAUCACAAGGUCUGCAGAUGACCUAGCACUAUCGAGGACCAAAGCCCAAACAGAUCUCGAAUAGAUGCAUCCAAAGAGGAGAUGUUCUAGAUUUUCAUCAUUGGCGGAACAUAGCACGCAUAUUGAAGGUCCAUGUCAUCCUCGUUUAGCAAGUACAUCGGCUGUCAAGAGCUGAUUCCUCACAGCUAGCCACAUAAAUUCCUUGAUCCUGAGUGCAAUCUUGAUCUUCCAAAGAUGAGGCAGCCUACAGUCCUUGACUCCACUAAGGGCGAAAAAAGCAUAAGCAUUCCUAGUCGAGAAACAUCCUGCUGCAUUCCAUCUCCAAAUAAUAGAGUCGUUCACAUCCACGUGUAAAGUGAUGUUGGAAAGUAUGGCCUGAAGAGCUAGGAGUUCAUUGUCCUGUUCGAAGCUGAGGGGUGGACAGAACCCCAUCAUCGGGUGAGUGGUGAAACGUCGAAACCAAGACAUGACAGAAAUGUGCUUGAUUGUCGAUAAAGCGUGCAGAUUAGGGAAUUGUUUCCGCAGCGAGAGCUCCCCAUACUAGUUUUUUUGUCAUCUCACAGAAGGUCAAUACAUUCUCAAUGUAAACCAGUUAACCACAUGAAAGAAAUUUUGUUUUGAACAUUCUCAGAGGACUGAAUUUUUGUGCCAAAUUUGUAAUAAAAAGGGGCUGCAACAUGUACUUGCACUGGUAGUUAAGCUAAGCAUCAUCAUUAAUGAGGUACACUAAUUAUAGUAGAUCUUGGUCCAAAUUAAGUGCACAAACGAUACUCUAUUUGUUUAUUCGAAUCUCACAUUAGGUUUAGUGAAUCUUCCUCAACUUUCAAUAAUCUGACAAAAACUGAGGGGCUGAGGUGCCCCUAAUUUCUUCUUUACUCUUAAACAAAAGUACUUCGCUCAUAAACUAGUUUCAAAAACUAAAUAGGAGCAAAGUAUCUUUGUUUCAAAACUACGUUGUUCUCUAGUAGAGAGUCUUAAUAUGAUGAUAAGUACUUCAUAUAAGAAAAUAAUAAUCUCAAACACUUGUUAACACUAAACCCGCUGGGUGCUGCCCGAUUUGGAAAGGAAUUCUCAGCAUCGCUGCACCUUUUCAUUCUUCUCUUUACUUGUCACUUGGUAACGAAAAGGUUGCGUCGUUUUGGAAUGCUAUAUGCUGUGGAGAUUUUGUCCCGCGGAACCAAUUUCCCAACCUAUAUGCCUUAUCGACCCAUAAACACCUCUCGGUCGAAAACUGGAUUCAACAUUUUGCUUUGCGCACCAAUCACAAUGCCUAGUGGAACAGGAUGAGCUUCUGCAGUUCAAUACGCUGAUCCACGACAUUUUGCCGUCUGAUUCUGAUGACUCGACCAUUUGGCGAUGGAAUAUUAACGGCAGUUUUUCGGUACGGAACGCCUAUGAUUUUCUUAUCUUUAAUGGAUAUGGAAACUCAAGGUUCCUCUCAGAGUCAAAUUAUUUAUGUGGUCAGCUGCGAGAAAUUGAGUUUCGACGGUCGACACACUUGCUAGGCGAGCCCAUCGAUCUGUGUGUUAUGCUUAAUUCACAAAUGAAGACAACCUGGAACACAUCCUCUUUUGCUACACCUAUGCGAGGUCCGUGUGUAAUUGGCUUCUUCAAAGUAUUCCGAUCACACAGCACUUGAUGGCCAACUUUUCUGGAGAUAUAGCGAGUCGGUGGAAAUGAGUAAGGAUGUCAUUGGUGGGACUACCAAAAAAUAAUUUUGAUCUCUAUUUUACAGCGGCUUGCUGGGAAUUGUGGAAACAGCGGAAUAUGAGAAUUUUCAUGAACGCCUGAUUCGAAGGGAACAGCUGGGAAGAAGAGUCCGUUGCACGGUGAAACUUUGGAUAUCUGUACUUGGGCCCUGAGACUGCUUAUGCUUCCCUCUUUUUUUUUGUUUUUGCUAUCUUUUGUGUUUCUUCAUUGUUCUUUUUAGCCAUAGUUGGCUCAGAGUUGUUGUGGUUGAGUUUGCUUUGCGGACGAGCUUGCUUUUCCCCCAGUGAAUUGUAGGUUGUAUGUUUUUCUGCUCAAAUAGGGAAUAUCCCUGUUUAAUCGAAAAAAAAAAGAUGCCGGAAUCACCUAUAUAUUCCGGCGCAGAGUGCACAACAACUCAGGAAUCUAAAUCGCGGAGUUUACACAACAUCAAUUGAUUUUAAUAGUUCCCUCCUAGCUAGUGAGAGAAUAUAAACUAGCCUCGCGAGCGAAACCUAGAUGUAAUGAGCUUCUUUCAGAUAGAUGCUUCUUAUUGUUAGUUAAGAUCUUGGCCUUAACUUCAACUUGGACACCGACAAUGGUGCGUGUUAAAUAUGUCUCGAAUUCUAGUACCGCAAGGUCUUCUAGCCCUAUUCUGUUUUAAUUAUCCCAUUAGGUUAAGUUUAGAUUAUGCCUAAUUUAUUGAGAUAUUCCUAAUCUUAGUGGGUUUGUAUUCCUAAUCGUAUUUAGAUUUAGCCACUAUUAUAAAUAUACCCUUUCCGCUAUUGAUUUAGUGCGGAAGAUGAGAGAGAGAAUAUGGGUGUAUUUUUUGGGAUUAGAGUUUUGUGAGAGGGGCAUAUUUUGUACAUCACUUUGAUUAUAAUGAAGAUCUCCGCUCCGUCUUCGCCCGUGGACAUAGACCGUUGGCCGAACCACGUAAAUAUUGUGUGCUUUAUUUUUCUUCUCUUUUUUCUCGGAUCUCUUUUGGUAUUUUCGCAUCCGACGAACUAGAUCUUCUUGGUUUUAGUUCUAACAAACUGGUAUCAGAGCCGAAGUGUUCGUUUGGGUGUUUAAGACGUCGAUGAAUUUGAGAUCGAGAAGUUUGAUCGCUCUAGCAGUUUCGCUCUACGACAAGUUGUCGUUCUGAUGCAACAGAGAUUGCAAAAGGCGUAGUUGGAGAUGAGAAGAUUGGCACUUCAAAGAAUCCCGCGGAUUUGCUCAUUAAGUUUUUAGGCGAUCAAGGUCAAGUAUUCCGUAAACUUGUUCGCAUGUGCAGUAGCACUUCAGGAGCUCUUGGGAUUUUGGUGGAGAAGACAUAGAAUUCAAGCCAAGGUAGAGAUUGUUAAAUAUGUCUCGAAUUCUAGUACCGCAAGGUCUUCUAGCCCUAUUCUGUUUCAAUUAUCCCAUUAAGUUAAGUUUAGAUUAUGCCUAAUUUAUUGAGAUAUUCCUAAUCUUAGUGGGUUUGUAUUCCUAAUCGCAUUUAGAUUUAGCCACUAUUAUAAAUAUACUCUUUCCGCUAUUGAUUUAGUGCGGAAGAUGAGAGAGAGAAUAUGGGUGUAUUUUUUGGGAUUAGAGUUUUGUGAGAGGGGCAUAUUUUGUACAUCACUUUGAUUAUAAUGAAGAUCUCCGCUCCGUCUUCGCCCGUGGACAUAGACCGUUGGCCGAACCACGUAAAUAUUGUGUGCUUUAUUUUUCUUCUCUUUUUUCUCGGAUCUCUUUUGGUAUUUUCGCAUCCGACGAACUAGAUCUUCUCGGUUUUAGUUCUGACAGUGCGAGUACAUCAACUGAAAACCCCGAGCACACCAUUGACAAGUAUCGACGCUAUGCGUGGAAUCAGUGGAGCAUUCCUGCUGAGAACAAACACAUCGCUCAAUACGAUCAUGUUUGAAAACACCGAGAGAGACUUUAACAAAGAGAAAUAGUUCACAUUUUCACUUAUUAUAAUGUCGCUAAGGACAUUAAUCUCAAAAUCCUAGCCACAAAUAUAAUAUCUAUAUGUGAUCAACCAUUCCUCUACAAGCUAUAGUUGACAGAGAAAAAGUCAGGAUGAUACUUAAUCUAUUUAAUGUGGAUUGAAAACUUCAUGUAAACUAGAUAUUAACCUUCGCAAGACUAUGUUUUGAUCUGUGUUAAACUUACAGAUUAUAAGAGAUAAGAAGAAUUAUAAAAGAGCUUUUCCACAGACAAAAAAUCAAACAAGAAAUUUAUGACGGAAAUUUAGAUUAAUUAUUACAUAUGAUAACUUUUUCUCAGAAGAUUUUGACAAUCGAAGAAAAACAAUAGUGAGGAAUAUAAUUAAUAGCUCCGCACUAUCUCCAUAUGACUUUAUGAACAACUAUUCAUAUGGCUAAAACAUACUUGGGUAACUUUCUUGCGUGGCGAUUGGGAAAAGCUCUUUUGGCAUAUCGAUUUUCUGAAAUUCAGGCUCUGAAUCUUCUGCUCUGAUGUCACUCGAGACCACCGAUUUCUCUAAAAGCAUAUGCUGCCGAGAAUGGCAUCAAAUGUUUGUAUAUUAUAUUGGCUAAUAAUUUCUUUCAUCAUCAGUCUUUCUCUGAAACAAAUGCAUGAGGACAGCAGAACUAAUUCCUUCUGAACAAAUGGGGCUGGCAGUGAGUUGCUUUCAUCUAGGAAUAAGAUGUCAACUACUCCAAACAAAGUCUCUUAUUUGAGAUGGUGAGUUGUCAUCUCCAACUACCAUUUGUGAAGCUAGGAGGGUGACAACAGAUUUUUGUUCCUAUUGUGUAGGAUUGGUUAUGACUUGUGAAUCUUCAGUAUGAGUUUUGACAAAACACAUUCUCUUGUUUUGUGGUUUGAUAUAUAUAUAUAUAUGUAACCCAUACAGUUAGCUGAUGAACCUAAAGCAUUUCACUACAUACUAAUUAAUUAGAAGUUAACCAAAAACAAAAAUCCAACAGUAAUGAACAAAGUAGUUACACAGAUGCCACAUCUUUGGAGACCAAAAUGAUACAUAAUACAGACUCUCAUCAGUAGUACUCAUGAAAUUUAUGUGGAAAAAGCCGUGAAAUCCAUCACAAGGAGAGUUGUAAUUUCAACUGGAGUUGAACUACCAGAUAAUUAAACUUAUAUAUAUAUAUAUGUAUAUCCAAAUUCUAAGAUGUUUCAGAUCAUCAUUACGCUGUUUAAAAAACCAAGAUAUAUCACACAGGUAUUGCAUGGAAUUGGCUUUUUUCUGACGCAGAUAAACAAAGAAAGAGUAGAGAAAAUUUUAAAAAAAGAAGAAAAGGGAGAAGAGAACUCUUGAUUAAUUCUUAAUGCAUCAGGACCUGCAAAACAAGUGACAAAGAGGAGGGAGAUCCCACAGCAAAUCGCAGGGAUCGAGCACCGUCUCAAAGUACUCCUGAACCCCGUUCAUCGCGUACAGCGAAGCCGAGAUCUGCCUCUCCACCCUCAUCCUCUCAAACUCCGAGACCUCCGGGUUGAUCAGGUUGGCCAACUCACCGUAUCCGUCGAACACGGCGAGGCGGUCGAACCCGGCUUCGAAUGCCCAGGAUUGAUCGGCGUGCGCAGAACCGAGACGAGCAUCUUCACUUCCAUUGAUGAAGUAAGGCCUGAACACCUCAUGAUCAGUGCUCAAUUGGGUAUCAUGCUUCAUGUCACCACAAGGAGUUGCACCAGUACUAACUGUUCCAUUUGUCAUAGUUUCACUUGUAGCAGCAGUGCUUGAACAUGUUGUAGCAGCAGUGCUACUAGUGCUAAUACUAGUAUUUGUGAUAGAGGUGGAAUUGCUUGGAGAAGUGUUACUCUUCUUGAGCUUCUUGUGAUCGAGUAGGCUGCGAAUUCGCGAGGCGAGCGGGGAGUUGGGGGACGACGGAUGCGCGACGAAGUUGGUCCGGGUGUUCGAACCGCGGAGCAGGCAGGCAGCCUCGUCGUAGGCCCGCGCCGCCUCCUCGGCCGUCUCGAAGGUGCCCAGCCACAUCCUUAUCUUCUGUGUUGUGUCCUUUAUCUCUGCUACCCAUCUCCCUGAGGGCCUUUGCCUCACACCAACAAACUUGCUGCUGCUUCUGCUUUUCCCUUUGAGCUUAUUGUUAGGCUUGUUAGAAGCAGCUGUGCCUAAGUAGUACUGUUGCUGUUGUUGUUGUUGUUGUUGUUGUUGCUGUUGUUGUUGUUGGAAGUGGAGUUCCAUGGAGUUUGAUUCUUUCCUUUUUUUUUUUUUUCUCUUUUGUUGGUGUUUGUAGGAUUGUGUUGAGGGAAAAGGAGGGGGUGGAAUGAUGGAUAAAUUUGAGAGGAAUGGAGUGGUGGUGGAGAUUUUUAAGUGAAAGAUAGUGGGGGAGUUGUCAUGUUGUGAAUGUUGUCUACAUGUUAUUUGGAAAUUUAUAGAGCUUUGGGGGAACAAUGACUAGGUUUCCUAUGAGGAGUCUACAGUUCACUUGCAUUGUUUGUUAGGAAAAAAGUUUGUGGUGAACAUGUCUAUGAUCAUUUUUUUUUUCUCCCCAUGUGGUUUUACCAAAUCGCCCUUCAUUUGCAUGGUCUGAGAUAUCAUGUAUUUUUUUUAUUAAUUUACAAGGUAAAUUGUGUGUUACAUGCAGUUCCCAUAAAAAUUAAUCUUGUAUCAUUAGCACUGUACUUAAUUUUUUAUUUUGGCUUUGAAAAAGCAGGUAUUAUCGCAAAGUUAAUGCGGUUUCGUCCAUCUCACAGCUCUUUAAAUAGUCUCUACCACGAUAAUCAUACAUUCCGAUACAUUGCUCCUAUAUAUAUAUAUAUAUAUAUAUAUAUUGUUGUUUUUUUAUGGCACUAAAUUUUUACAUUUGAAAGAAAAGGGAAAGAAGAGUUUGAAGUAUUACAAUUUCAUUUUUUACGAUUCCUUUGUGAGAUUCCUACUGCGAAAUCAAACAAAUUAAAUCUUGUUGCUUAUACUAAAACAAAUUAAUCACUCAGCAAUUAAUAGAACGGUUUGUUGCCAUUUUUAUAGUAGUUUAAUUCUCUACUAGUUUUCUGUUGUUAAUAAUUAACAAAAUUCAUAGCUAUAUAUAUUAGCUAGAAAAUAUUUUGCGUUAUUAAAUUUAGUUGGUAAAAAUAAUAUACACUUAGAAAAUUAAAAGUUAAACAAGUAUAUAUUAUAUGAAAAAAAAAAGGUUAACAAACCGUUCUUUUUUUUCCUCUCUACAUUAGUUAACUUAAAGUCAUGGGGGGCACGAUUAGCCGCCACGUGGCGGCAUAUGAAGCCUCUAUGCUAGUGUGCUAUGUGACAACAUGGAUGCAUCUGAGGGGUGCAAAACAAAAUUUUUUUAAAAAAAAAGGAAAAAAAGAGAAGGGCAAAAACAUGUAUGGAGGCCCCCUGAACUAUUUAAUAUUUUUAUUAACAAUGUCUAAAACAUUUAUUUGGAUGUUUUUAUUAACAAACUCUAAACAAAAAAAAAAAAAGUAAUGGGAGUGUAAAUCAAAAGAAUUAGGUCUCAUCGGGAUGUCGAAUUUCUUUCUUUUUUUUUUUGCGAAAUUUGAAGUAAUUAUCAGCUUGAUCUUUGCUUUGUAAGAAUUAUUGGUAUUUAUGAUUUGACAGCAUAGUAUAUUAAUUUUGGGGUAAACUUCAAAUACCCCCUGUGGUUUCAUACUUUCUCACUUUAGUACCAUGUGGUUUAAAGUGUAUUAAAUUAACCCCUGUGGUUUCAUACUUUCUCACUUUAGUACCCUGUGGUUUAAAAUGUAUCAAGUUAGUACCCUGUCGUUUUAUUUUUCUCUUUUUAUUAUCCAUUUCACUAAUUUUUUUGUUAAAUCAGUGACAAAGUAAAAAUUAAGGAGUACUAGAGUGAAUAUUCGAUAAACCUAGAUAGGGUAUCUGAAGUUUUUUGUAUAUAAUUUAAUGAAAUAUUAACAGAGGAAAAAAAAUUAGUGACAAAGUUAAAAUUAAAGGGUACUUGUAACGUAUCACAUCCCCGUAAACCGUGCCGAGUUCCGUUGAAAUGGGCGGAAUGCGGAGUUGGGCGAGUUAAAGUGCUUUACAAUGGGUUCUAUGGGCAUUAGAACCAAUGUAUAAGGUAAAGGGACCCGAGAGAGUGAAUUCUGGAAAAUGGCUAAGUCCCAGAAUUUUGGACUCUCGCGGACCGGUCCCUAAAGGAAGACCGGUCCCCGCACACGCAGCAAGAGAAAAGAGAGAAAAAUCGACUAAGUCCUGAAAAUACCCCUUUCGGGAACCGGUCCCUGGUGGAGAGAUCGGUCCCCGUGAGACCGGUCCCUGGUGGGGAGACCGGUCCCCGUAUGCGAAAAUUGCCCAGGUUGGGCUGCUUCAAAUAUUGCAAUGUUGAGGGGUUUAUGUGCAAAUGUCACUUGGGAGAGGUGUAUAUGUUGGUUAGGGCUUAUGUUAGGGUUCACCCACACACAAGAACUUUCCUCUCUCUCUCUCUAAAACCCUCUUUCUCUCUCUCCUCCUCUCUAGAGCUUGGAUCAAGGGAGGGAUUUGAAGGAGCAAAGUUGGAGUAGAAUUUUCCCAAGGUGGUGGCUAGCUUGUGCAAGAGCUUUUGGAGGAAAGCUUUGGAACUCUAAGGUGAGUUUCCAUCUUUUGAGCUAGGGUUUGGUCUUAUGCUUCUAGUAGUAGCAUCUAGGAGCUUCUAUGAGGGUUUUUCUCUAUAGUAUACAUGCUAGGGACCUAUAAUGGAGAAGAUGAUAUUGUUAAGGGACCCAAAAUUGGGGUUUUGUAAUUAUGAGGUCGAAGCGUGGGAUUGAUCUCCUUUUUACCUAAUUGGUAGGUCAACGAACGCGUUGGUGCACUUGGUUCGGCGAUACGACGCGCGUACGCGGAGAUAUUGAGGAAACAAGCUAAGUUGGUACGGUUCGUCGCAAUUCACGGCGUAGGGGGGGCUAAGUAAAUUUCAAGAAAUUGCAUUUCAGCAUUCUUGUAACACGAAUAGGUGGGGGGUGCUAUCCGGAAUCAUCGAAUUCGCUUCUAUGUCUAAGUCACUUUAUAUUGAACGUAUUUGUAUAUUCCAUUCAUGCAUAUAGGGUAGAGAAUAUGUGAUUGUUGGUUGAAAACUCAGUUAUAUGCUUCUAAUGUAUUUGAACAUAUGAAUUGAUAUCGAACCAUGAGGACUAUGUAUGUUGAACCCUAUAUGUGUGUGAAUGUGUGAGUUGGACUAUGAUAAUAGUGAAGAAAUGUGACAUUGACAUUAGCGACGAGAUUGGCUUUCAGUGGUGAGAUGUUGGACUUGAUCUAACCUAUUGUGGCAUUGUGGCAAAUAUAUUCUAGAGAAUGGAGUAAAUGACAAGUUAAGAACCUAAUGGUUCAUUGUGGCAUCGAGGCGAGUGGCAUAUGUGGCUAUCGUUCCUAAAGCGGGAAUUGGAUCAUACUCACAUGAGUCUUGGCUCUAGGGCGGUAGCUCCCCCUCGAGCGGUGCUUUCCGGAAAUGACACCACUGGGAGAGAGGUCCCAGAAGAUGGUCCCUCGGGUAGUAGUGCUUGGAGCCUCCCCGGAUGAUUGGGAUUUUGGGUUGUGAGUCGGGGUAAACCAGGAGCACCCCGUGAUGCUUAAUUGGAUAAAAGCCAUGUGAAUUUUUAUAUCAUGCAUGCAUGUAUCAUAUUUGAGUUUAUAUAUAUGCUGACUAUCUUUUUUGCAGGCAUAGUAUUAGUAGUAGCAUUAGUGGGUUUGCUAUAUCUAUUUCUUUGAAUACUUAUGCCUGGUUAGACCUAGUGGGUAAGUCGGCGGGGUCGGCGGCCGAACCCACUGGGAACUUUAUUUUAGUUCACAUUACCAUUAACCCUACAGAUCCGAGCGCGAGCGAGGCAGCGGAGGAUCGUGGCAAGGGUUUAGCGCCGUAGCUAGCGGCCACCAGAGUAUAGGCAUUUCCCUAUGUGUAUAGUUCAACUUUUGUAUGUUGAAUAUAAGUGAGAAAAGUUGUAAUCAUUAUUUUGGGUUGUAAGAUAAUGUGAUGUAAACAAUAUAUGGAAAAGAAUGGUUGUAAUAGUGCUUGUAUUUGAUUAAAAGGUAAUCAAAUAUGAUAUGAUGGUUGUAUGUAUAGUAUAGUAGUCAGAGCUUUCGCUACUUGUGUUGUUGCUUGCCUUCGUGCAAGCCUUGUGCAAUUAUGUUCACUUUGUGCUGAAAUUCUUGAUUCUACAUGUUGUUGGAGUCUUGGACGGACAGGGGAGGUGCUGUCCGUUCGGCGUCUGUCGACGUGGCCCGAUUCCGACCAAAUAGGCGGAGCUCGGGGCGUGACAGUACUAAAGUAAAUAUUCGAUAAACCUAUGUAGGGUAUCUGAAGUUUUUUAUAUAUAAUUUAACAAUAUAUUAACAGAGUAGCUGACGAAAAGAGAAAAUGAAACUACAGGGUACUAAAUUGAUACACUUUAAACCAUAGGGCACUAAAGUGAGAAAGUGCGAAACCAUAGGAUACUAAAUUGAUAUACUUUAAACCACAUAGUACUAAAGUGAAAAAGUGCGAAACCACAAGGGUGGUAUUUAAAGUGAGAAAGUGAGAAAUAGGGGGUGGAAACGAGCUGAGCUCGAGCGAGCUUACCUCGGCUCAAAUUCGGCUUGAAAUUAAUUUCGAGCCUAAAUUUAAGCUCAAGCUUGGAUUGAAAUUAAUUCGAGCCGAGCUCGAGCGAGCCUAAUUUUAAGUCGAGCGAGCUCAAGCCCUAAACGAGCCGCUUGAAAUUCUCAACAUUAUACGAUCAAUAGUUUAAUUUUUAUAGAACAUUAUCUAUAAUUUGAUACAAAAAUAUGUCUAAUAGUUCAAAGUACAAAAUAAUUAUAUGAAAUAUAGUAUUAUAAUAUGAAAAAAAAUAAUUUAUGGAGUGGGGUGAGAUAUCUAAUUUUUCAGUCUCCACAUGUCUUUUCUUCCGCCUUCAAUCUCUAUAUAUUAUUCAUUUUUAUUUAUGCAAUCAAAAAUAAAUAAAUAUAUAGAUAAAUAUUAGAUUAAACUAUCCAAUCAUAUAUAACUAAAAUUAAAAUUUUAUAUGAAUAAUAAUUUUUUACUUAAAAAAUAUUCUGUAUAUUUUCUCAAACAUACACAUUAAUAGCAAGGUAGGCAACCGGCGGCAUAUGAUUAUUAACUUGGUAACUUAGAGGGCUUCCGGCUUGGCCACUUAGGGUAAGAGACAGAAAAAGAGAAAGAAAGAACAUAUUGAAAUUUAGAGCUCUGUGAAAGAAAGAAAGAAAGAAGAAGAAAAAAAUAUUAUAAAUUAGUAAAAUUUUGCUCUUUAUUUGUCUAUUGGGUUUGUUUUAUAGGUCAACAUAUUGACUAUAAUUUUAACUAAAUUCAGAUUAUUCAACUACUAAUAUAUAAAUAUUAUAUUUAUUAUUUAUAUAUAUAAUUAUAUAUAUGUUUUAUUAUUAUAAUAUAUAUAAUAAAAUUAGUGUAGAACUACUAUGCUAUCGAAAAUAUAGAGGAUUUGAUGUUUUUGAAUUUUUGACCCUUUGAUUAAAAAUUGUAUGAUUGGGAUGAUUGCGGUCUCCCGUAGGAUUAAAUAAUACUCUUAGGAUUGAGUGGUCCCUACAAGGUAAUAAUAAUAUUAAUCGAAAGAUAAGAAACGAUUAAAGAGAUUGAUCUAAGAAUCAAAAAAUCGAAAGCACCAGACCUCUAUACUUUCGAUAGCAUAGUAGCUCUACUAUAUAUAUAUAUAUAUUCGAGCUUUUCGAGCUUUUCGAGCCUAAUUCGAACGAGCCGAGUAAUACUCAAGCUCUGCUUGAAAUGAAUUUUGAGCCUUUUUUUUGUUCAAGCUCGGCUCAUUUAAUUUCGAGUCGAGCUCGAGCGAACCAAAUAUCGAGUCGAACGCGAGUCGAACGCGAGCCGGCUCGCUCAUUUGCCAGCCCUAGUGAGAAAGUGUGGUAUCUAAAUUGAUGCACUUUAAACCACAGGGCACUAAAGUGAGAAAGUGUGAAACCACAGAAUACUAAAUUGAUACACUUUAAACCACAGGGUACUAAAGUGAAAAAAUGCGAAACCACAAGGGUUGUAUUUAAAGUUUUUCCUUAAUUUUAUCUACAAAAUGAUUAUCUUAUUACGAAAAAAUGACCUGAAUGUUGAAUGUAAAAUUUUCAUUCUAAACAUGUGAUCACACUCUUUAUCUACUAAAUGUUACAAGCUUCUUGAUUAAUUCGAAGAGAUAUGCCAAUAUGAAUACGCACGCAUCCAAACAAUGACUCUUGAUAGAAUAAUAUAUUUUAUUUACGAGAUGAUUAUCUUUUUAUGAAAAAAUGAUUCGAAAGGUAAAUAUAAUAUCUCAUUCUAAACAUCUUAUCACACUCUUCAUCCAUUAAAUGUUAUAAGCUUUUUGAUUGAUCCAAAUAGAUAUACUAAACAAGAUGUUCACGCAUUCAUAGGGAGGCUCAGAGUUGUACAUUUUAAUUAACCAAACAAAAGCAAUGAGAUCAAAUACAUGGCCCACAUUCUACAAAAAGACAUGGACAUCAAUAUGCAUGACUCAAAAAGUAUCCAAAGAAACAGCAUCACAGGAGAUGCUCAUAUACUUUUACAAAAAUAAUAUGUAAUGGUGAUGCAUGCUAAUACGCAACUAGGGUUUUUUUUAAUAUGAUAUGGGAGUAUUUAUUUAUUUAUUUAUUUAUAUAAUAAUAAAAUUAGGUUGUGUGGUUUGUUUAGUUGUUAGAAUAGAGUUUAUUGGAGGUCUCAGUCCAAAACUGAUCCAAUUAUGCUACAACAAAACGACACUCUGAUGCUUUUGCAGGUGUAUAGUACCUUUCAAACACUUCAGAUACAUGCUUUACAAGAGGAUUGAGGAUUCAAGGAAAAGUUAAAGGCAAUCAUUUUGCUAACUAGGUAAUGCAACAACGGACUUUUUUACAAAAUAACCCUCUAAAAUAUUAAAUUUAUGAAAUAAUUUUUCUAAAAUUAUAUUUAGAAAACUAAUUCUCUUUUCGCCAUGUAGGCACCAUUCUUGAUAUUUUUUAUGAGGCAGUGAAUCGCUUACCGCCUUUAGUAAAGCGAUGAAUCAUUUACCGAAUGAUUCACCGUUUUUCUAAUAUAACAAGUGUAGACGGUGAAUGAUUUACCGCCUUCAAGGCAAGCAAAUGAGCGAGUUGGCUCAUGUUCGACUCGCGUUCGGCUCGAUAUUCGACUCACUUGAGCUCUGCUCGAAUUUAUUUCAAACCGAGCUUGAGUAUUAUUGGGCUCGCUCGAAUUAGGCUCGAAAAGCUCGACAUAUAUAUAUAUAUAUAUAUAUAUAUAUAUAUAUAUAUAUAUAUAUAUAUAUAUAUAUAUAUAUAGAGAGAGAGAGAGAGAGAGAGAGAGAGAGAGUUAGGCUGGUAUACUAUCGGUAGCACAGAGGCCUCCGUGUUACCAAGUUGUUUUCAAUGAUGCGGCUUCCAAAUCGACGAUCGGCUUCGUUAAACUUGAUCUACACUAUUAAAAAUAUUUGAGAACUAAAUUUUAUAAUUUUUCGACAUCAUUUGGCUAGUGAUCAAAAGGUCUCAAAAUUGACAAUUUUAAUGGUAGAUGUGAUGCGUUUGUGAAUUUAACGGUAUAAAACAAUCUAAAUCUGAUGAAAUUUUUAGAGAAUUUUUUUUUUUUCACUAUUUAGAAUAAGAUCAGUACAUCUGAUCUUAAAUUCAAGUCUUUUAUCCUUAUUUUUUAUAAGAUUUUUAUUUUCACCUGUUUAUUUUUAGACUACUCAUUUGAUAGGUAAAUGAUGCCAAAAAAUUAUAAAAUUUAGUUUUCAAAUACUUUCAAUGGUGUAGAUCAAGUCUAAUGGAACCGAUCGUCAAUUUAGAAGCCGCAUCAUUAAAAACAACUAGGUAGCACGGAGACUAGUAACUUAAAAAGAAGGAAUGUUGAAGGGAUAAGUCUAGUAACUUAAGUAUUAUAGGAAUAUAUUUGUUAUUUCAUAUCUUUGCAAAGAGCCAUAUACAAUUAUCCCUAAAAAAAUUGCAUCAAUUAACUCCCUACAUUUUACUAUUAUCCUACAUUGGUCCAGAUACUUGGACUGGUCAUUGAACUUAGCUAUAAAACUAUAUAAAAAUAAGUUCGUAGAUGACAUUACUUUAAAGUAAUGCAAUAGAAUCAUAUAAAUUAACCAAAGUUGCUUCAGAAACUAUCAAUCUUAAUAGCAUUGAUGAUAGCAAAGAUAUCUUUUACAUUUUUUUGAGUUAUAAAUUAAAUAUAUGUUGAAAUGUGAAAUAAUGUGAUAUGCCAACUCCUUUUUAAAGUUCUAUAAUCCAAUUUGUCAAAUUUUAAAAUUUUUGGAUAUAUUUGGAAUGGGGAUAAAGUAUAAUUAAGUUGUUAAGUGAUGCAAUUUUUAAUGUAAAAAGAUAAUUGAUAUAUAGGCUAAAGUUGUGACACCCUAGAAAUUUAAAAUAGGCCUAUAGAUAAAAUAUAAUAGGUUAAAUCUCAUAAUCUAACUAUAGCAUUUUGGACGGUGGAUAGACCCAAGAGGUUAAGAGGGUUAAGCAUAUUAGAACUGGAGUAGUUCUAGGAUGGGUGACCCUCUGGGAAGUGGGGUGUCGCUGUUAGUAUCAAAGUCAAUCACUAGCCAGAAAUGUAAACUAAGUCUCAGCUGAGCCGAGGUUAUACAAUGAGUAAAGCGUCGCUCCCUAACUGAUGAUGACUGUUGUGAUUAGAGUACGGCUCCCCACAAGGUCAGCUUAUAUUAGUGAGACGAGUCUCACAUUACCUAGUGCUUGUGAAUAUGGUUAAGCCUGACGAGAACUCAGGCUUAAAAUGAGGAACAAUAUGACACCCCAAGAAUUUAGAAUAGCUCUAUAUAUAAAAUAUAAUAUGAGUAAGAAUUUAAGUACCGUGGCACAAGAUUGUGUCAGAAACUUGUCUGCAUGAUAUGGCACGGUGCCUGCCGAUGCGGGUCGGUCACAAAAAAUAUAUGUGUGCCGACACAUAAUAACAUAAAAUAUUUAUUUUCGUUAGCAACAAAAAAUGCUAAUUAUUUAUUAUAUUUUUAUCAACUCUUUUGAACUUUAUUGAGAAAAUUACUUACUAAUUUCAAAAAUAGAGGGUUUUGAGUUGUGCCAUCGGCACGGGGGUUAUAUGUCACGCCCGGGUUCUAGUGGAAGCUUACCCGGUACAUGUACAGACCCGCCAUAUACCUGAAGUAUACAAGGCGUCUACUAAAAUCAUGCUAGAAAAGUAACAGUCAAUAGAAGAGUCUAAUAUGGUAUCAGAGUAUAGAAUGUACAAAAUGUACUAGAAGUACUAAAAGCAAGAGUGUAAUAUAAACAGUAUCUACUAAAGAUACUAGGAAGCAGGAGCUUAAAAUUGAAAAUACAACUCUCCAACAACAUUCAUAUAACACACGAUCACAAAAGAGCUAUAUAUACAUAUGGUGGUCUCUAUAUACGGAUACAAUAUCACCCUCGUCUACACAACCAGAAUAGCGAGGUGAUCACCUAACGGGACUCCAAGCUAUGCCUAGCUAGACGCGACUCCCUUGCCGCGAUCCCUAGCCUCUCCCGCAAUGGAUAGCUCUGUAAAUAAGACAACAAUAAAUAGGGCGUGAGAACUAUUAGUCAAUAGUUCCCAGUGGGUAAACCGCCGACCUCAGCGAAUUACACCACUAGAUUCAUAUAUAAAGAGAAAGCAUGUACAACUACAACAUGAUAGGAAUACAAUGGUAAUAAGCAACUAAUUAGUAAUAAAACUACUAUAUUUCCAAUGCAACAACUAUGAUGCAACAGGUAAAGUAACUACUCUACACAAGUAAGCAGGCUAUAUCAUCUCAUAAAUGCACACUAUCUAGUAGUGACCAUUAUAUCAAUACAAUUUAGUAUCUUUGUUCAAUUCAUAAGAAUCUACACAAGAUAGUCCGGCUUGCGCCGCGCCUAAUGGCCCCGUGGUAGUAAACACUCCUCACGGCAAUCCACUUCGGCACCCAAUCCUGCACGGGCCAGUACGAUGUCGCGUAGGCCAAAUCCGGAGUGCCGGCUUGUGGAGAGCGACCCUCACAAGUAUGUGCAAAUGAGCACAAUGACAAGCAAGCAUGAUCCAUAAUAUAAGGUUCUCAAUCGUCAUGUCUCAAACAUGGAAUGUCCUCUACCGACCUAUAGGUCGGGAUCUAAGUACAAUAUCAAGUGCUAGUUAUCAACUAGAUCAUAGCUAGUAACAUGAAAUUCAUGCUAGUUUUAUCAAUUAUAUGUUGAGUUUAACUUGUCUACACAAGUAUGCUAACCAUUCUAUAGUACAUAUUUUAUAAGUUCAAUGCAAAUGCAAGAACCAAUAGAUUAUAAUAACAACAUGCCAUUCUUGCUAAUCUAAGCAUAUUAUAUUCAUUCGCAACUUGUCUACACAAGUAUAUUCCUUAUCAUGCAAGGAAUUUAAUACUUGUAGCUCUCUACUACACAGAGUAUAACUUGUCAUAUGAUGUAAGUAUUACUAAUACAUCCAACAAUUCACUUAUGAUGCCGUUAGCAAAACAUAUGCAUAAGUCUAGCUCUAUGUCAAGAAUAAGAACAUAGGGGGAAUUCAUCCAUUUCGGUGAGGUCAAACCCACCAAAUACACGUCGACUCCUGUCCGAUCACUCAAGAGAAGAUGCCCAAUAGCUUUCCCAGCAACCUAUCACAAUUCUAAACUAAUUAAGAGCUUCGAUUAAGCUCUCUACCAAGAACUUCAACAGUUUCCCCUAGUAUAGGUAGAAUUGUACCUCACUUAGAACCAAGCUUGAUUCUAACCUCAAUUCAGGUUGGAGCACACCCAAUCCAACCUACAAGAGUCACCAAAACUCAGCCAAAAGAGUUCCAUAAUCCUGCUGUGAGCUAAUACCAAGAACUCCACCCAUACUACUACUAAUACAUCAAACUAGAGAGAGAUUAGGUAGUAUACCUUCCAAAGCUCCAACUCAGAUAUUCCCUGUGUUAGGGUUGAAGAAACAUUGCCAAACACCUCUUCCCACAUUUCAAAAGUUGCUCCACAAGUCUCCAAACCAGCUAGCAACAAGAGAAGGAUAAAAACAAGCUCAAAUCCACCAAUUUUCACUUUCAAUUGGCUAAGACCCUAGAGAGAGAAAGAGAAUAGGUCUUAUCCUGUUCUUCAGCUCAAACACAAUAGAAACCAGCUAGGGGGGUCGACCUGGGGCUUAAAGGGAUAAGCAUUAGAGUGAAUUUACCAAAAAACCCCUUAUCCACAAACUGCUGUAUUGGGUACCGGUACUCGGGCAUGGGGGUACUGGUACUCAAUGCAAAAAAAAAAAACCAGACUUCGAGUUUUCAAUGCUAAAUCACUCCUCCGGCCACUUACACUCCAGUGACAUGCCGAUAAGCUCUCAACAACCCCUCACGAGAUCUAGAAUAGUUCCAAUUACUAUUCUAACACUAGAACUUCGCAAUUUGCUCAAGUUCAGUGUACUACAUUAUAUCAUGGCGAUAUCUUGCUGGCACGAUACGACACAGUGGAUAUGGCACAUAUCGAUAGGCACUUUAAUCCUUGAAUAGAAGUAAAUCUCUUAAUCUGGCUAUAACAUUUUGGGCGGUAGAUAUACUCAAGUCGUUAAAAAGGUUAAGCAUGCUGGAACAUGAGUAGUUUUAGGAUGGGUGACCCCCUGAAAAGUGGGGCGUCACAAAUGUAAAGAGAUAAAGUGAAACUUUUUGAAUCAUAGAGUGACAAAGUAAAAAAGAACUAGACCAUGACAUAGUGUGCACUAGAAUUUUGAUUUUGUGACGAGGGUUAGAUAAUAGAAGGGAAAACUUCAAAUACCAAUCCUGUGGUUUCACACUUUCUCACUUUAUACCCUGUGGUUUAAAGUGUAUCAAUAUAGUGCCCUGUGGUUUCAUUUUAAUCUUUUUAUUAUCGAUUUUACUAAUUUUUUUUAUUAAAUUAGUGACAAAAUUAAAAGUAAAGGGUACUAAAGUGAAUAUUCGAUAAACCUAGGUAGGGUAUCUGAAGUUUUUGGUAUAUAAUUUAACGAAAUAUUAACGGAGAAGCUGACGAAAAGAUAAAAAUGAAAUCACAGGACACUAACUUGAUAAAUUUUAAACUACAGGGUAUUAAAGUGAGAAAGUGCAAAACCACAUAGAUGGUAUUUGAAGUUUACCCAUAAUAAAAACACCACAAACCACUUGAACUUUUGCUCCUUUGGAGAUAGAUAGCUAUGUGAAUUUGGAAACUUUCAUAUUUACAAUGCAACUUUCAAUUUCUCAACUAACACUUAUAAAAUUCUAUUCCAUCAACUAAAAUGUUUAAAUAUUAGCCAAAUCGACAAAAAUACCAAAGGAGGCUUAGGUUGUGUUUGGUUCCACGUAAAACUGUGGAAAAAAAAAUUUUCGAUGGAAAAAAAAUUUUCGGUGGAAAAAAAAGUUUUAUGUCGUUUGUGUCUGGUUUGAAGGAAAAGAAAAAUAGUUUUCCAUGACGAUUGUUUGGUUGAAAGAAAAAGAAAAGUAGAUAAAAAUUAUUUAAUAUAUUUUUUUAUUAUAUAUAUUAUUAAUAUAUAAUAAUUAUUAUAUUAAAUAUAUUAUUAUUAUUAUUUUUAUUUAUAGAUUAAAUAUAUUUAAAAUUAUAAAUAAACAUAUUCCAUAAUUAUAUAUUUAAGAAUAUUAAUAAAUAAUUACAAGUUUAUAAAUAUUUAAGAUUUUUUUUUUUUUUUAGGGGUUCGAGUUGCCCCACUCCUGUAGCCAGUUCAUUUGUCUAAUGAAUGAAGCGGGUAGCGUGCUACCUUUCUCUAAAAAAAAUUAAUAAUUACAAGUUUAUAAAUAAAAUAUUAUAUAAUAGUAUUUUUAUUACAAAAAUAAAUUAUUAUAUAUAAUAAAUAUAUAUUUAUUAAUUGGUUUGUUGGAUUUUAGACUUCAAGAGGAAUCCACGAAGUCUAAUAUUGCAGAUUUUGGUGAAGGUUAGCUUGGUCGAACUCAAGUUCUUCUCUGCUGCUGUUGUUUUGGGCAGAUUCUUAAGUUUAUGAGUUUUCUUUAAUGCUAUCUUUGGAGGCAGGGAGAUUUUGGACCUGAGCUUGAUAUCUCAGUAUACUCCACUGGAUUUGAGACCCUCCUCACCAGAUUUGGAUGUGAUUAGGUGAGUUUUGACAUUGGAGUUGGAUUAAUUAAGCUUAAGUACUGAAAUUAUAGUUAUAUUGAUGGAUUUUGAUCCUGUUAAGGUUUGGAGUUUGGUGAUCUCUUGUUGCUGGACUUGGAGGAACUUCGGUAGAUCCAGUAGGGAUUCUUAGUGGUUCGAGACCUCCUUGCUGCCAGGAAUUGCAUUUGAGGUCGGUAUUUCAUCGGUUUUGCUCCUAAGUGCUUGUGUAGUCGACAUGUAUGAUUUCGGUUCUUGUAUAUCAUGUUGUAGCUCAAAUUCAUUGAUUGUAGCAUGUAUGAAAUCUGAAUUGGGAGCAUGACUAUUAAUUAGAUGAAUAUACAUGUUGGACUUGGAAUUUGACUUAGGAGAAAACCAGCGAUUUGACCCGUCAUAUGCUUAUACUAUCUGAUUUAGCUCUAAGAGUCGGAGUUGGUUUAUAUCACCGCAGUUUCAGCGCGGUGGAUACUCAAGGUAGUUUAGAAUACAUUUACACUCGUGCGAGAUGCCGAGCUUGGGUAAUAUUCAACCGUAGGUUCUACACUAUCUUUUUUGUUCGCUCCUUAAGCUUUUGUGCUUUGUAUCCACGCUGUUAGUGCGCAUUUGAUACUCAGAUAGCUUCUGAAGCUGUUGUGCUUCGUAUCCUCGCUGUUAGUGCGCAUUUGAUACUCAAAUAGCUUCGGGAGUUGUCACGGAUAGUAUCCACACUGUUGUGUGCAUUUGAUACGCUGAAAGCUUAGGAGUUGUAAUAGAUCUGUAUCACCGCAGUUUGUUGGCGGUAGAUACCUGGGAUAGUGUAGAAUGCAGUUACGCUGGUGCGGAGAUGCCGAGCUUAUUUUUACAGCAGUGUCUAGGUUGUUUCGGACUGUCGGAUGCCGUCGGGGUUGACGGUGGACCCAGAUUGCGAGUUUUGCAUUAGAUUGUGCCGAAGGCACGUGAGUUUUGAUUGUUGGACCAGUUGGACCCUUCUUACUUGAUUAUAGCCUGUGAGAGCCUGAUUGAGCUCAGUAGAGAUACGCUUGCAUACUCGGUUUGGUAGCGCCCACGAAUGCCACUCCGGAGUCGGGCUUUGUGCGUUUGCGUUGUGUAGUGUCCUGGUUGGACUUGCUCUCCACGGACUGAUUAGUGUGGAGGUAGCAUUUAGGAUUCGAUAGGCGGGACGGGUGCGUUUACAGUCCUUGGGACAUGUGUGUUCAUAGUCCCUAUGGAUUUGGGUCUGAGGUUGCAUUACUCUACAGAUAGUAGUGUUGGAUCAUGAUAGGAUAGUGGCAUAUAGCUGUAAAUUUGUUCCAGCUUCCUUUUUUAUCACUGAGCUUAGAUCUGUAGAGUUAGUGGGUGAGCCGAUGAGUUUGAGGGCGGUACCCACUGAGGACUACUUCUUUUGUAAUAGUUCUCACGCCCAGUUGUUACCCCUGUUUUGUAGAGUCUUCUGUUCCGGCUGCUGCUUCUACCGAGACCGAUCGUGGCAAGGGCGUUGCGAGUUUGAGCCCUUCCAGACGAGUCGCCGAGCUAGAGGAGUAUUAGCUACAGGUAGUUGUAAUUUUUGGUUCUUUACAUACUGAUAUUGUACAUCGCUGGAGCGAAUGUUUUUGUACCAGGUUGAUAUGUAUGUAUCAAACCACUGUUUUAUAUAUGGUCUAAUUUUUCUAGCAGCUCUAUACUACUGUUUGUAGUAUUGUUUGAUUACAGAUACUUCUACUGUUUCGCUUCGUAUACAGGAAAAAUUCCUAUAUAUACGGCGAGUCUGUUAGCGUACCCGAAAAAACGAGUAAUCCGAGACGUGACACUCUCACACAGUCCACGAGGCCAAAGUGGCCUCGUGGACCGCACAAUGUUUUGCCUCUCAUGAGCUGCGAUUUUAGCCGCUGCCUUUUCGUUUACCGCUGCUCUCGCGCGGAAAACUAAAAGUAAGUUUUUCCCAACAUAUGUAAAAUAAGUUUUUCCAGAAAAAUUUUUUACCUCCAACCAAACAAGCUACAAAGUAGUUUUCGUAGAAAAAUUUUUUUCCGCCCACUUUUACGUCAAACCAAACAUGACCUUACCAAAAAUAUAUCGAGUAUUUCUCCUUUCGAAAGUCAUUGUUGUGGAUAAAAGUUAACUACAAUUAUCACAUUUAGUUCUUGCCAAAUUGGACUAUAAACCUUUAUUUUGGUAACACGAUCCCUAAACUUUACCAAAUAAUUUAAGGGAAGUCAAUAAUUAAGGGUAAGAUGUUUAAAGACUCUCUGAACUUUAGUUCUUUUGUAAAUAAGCACUUGAACUUUCAAUUUUGACAAUUACAUUUCCUAAUUAUAAAAUAAUUUUGAUCAGAUGUCGUGCUCUUAAUCCUGUAAGCUUCAAACUAUAAAAAAAUUAUUUUUCCUCUCUCAAUUUCAAUAUAGCAUGACAAUUGAAGAAUAGAUUGAAUCGAGCUUUAAAUUUUAUUACUUUUUUUAUAUGCUAGAACACAACAAAUAUAUUAUUUGUAUUUCAAAUAUUUAUGCAAUACAUACAGCCAAAAUAAUUAUAUAAAUAAUAAUUAAAAUUAAAAUUAAAAUUAAAAUUAAAAUUUUAACCUACCAUCUCUAAGUUAAAAUUUAGGGUACAUUUCAAAUACAUCCCCUGUGGUUUCGCACUUUCUCACUUUAGUACCCUAUGGUGUAAAGUGUAUCAAUUUAGUAUCCUGUGGUUUUAUUUUUCUCUUUUCGUCAGCUCCUCCGUUAACAUUCGUUAAAUUAUAUACAAAAAUCUUCAGAUAAGGUUUAUCGAAUAUUUAUUUUAGUACCUUUUAGUUUUAACUUUAUCACUGAUUUAACGAAAAAAAAUUAGUGGAGGGAAUAAUAAAAAGAUAAAAAUAAAACCACAGAGUAUUUAAUUGAUACACUUUAAACCACAUGAUAGUAAAAUAAAAAAGUGCAAAACCACAAGGAUGAUAUUUGAAGUUUUUUUCUAAAAUUUACGUUAACCGACCGUCUCUAGUGUAAGUGACAGAGGGCUUGGUAGUUGGUAUAUGAGGUUUUAAGACCCGUCUGGAUUGCUACCGUGUAUUAUUUAUUUUUUUGGCCAUUUGACUAAUGUUUGUCAUUUUAAAUUGACUUAAUCAAACCUUAUGCUUAAUUGCAAAAUUUUAAAUAUAAAAUUUUAAAGUUUAGACAGCUAUUUGCAAACAAACUCUUACUAAUGUGUUGAUGCCAUGUUUAUUGUCAAUCAGAUAUUCAGCUUCGUUUGGUUCGAAUAUAAAUAAAAAUUAUUUAUUUCAGGAAUAAAUAUAAGUUCAGAUAUAAACAAAAACUGGAGUAAGUUUUUAUUUGGAUAAAAAUUAAAUUGUUUCUAAAAAUAAGCUAAAUAGUAUUUGGAUGGUUAGAUUGGAAUAUCGAAAAUAAAAAUAAUUGUAAUUUUAAAUUAAUAUUAUUUUAUCUAAUUAAUUAAUAUCAAAAUAUUAAUUAAAAAUAAUUUAAAUAAAUAAAAAAAAUUAUUAGCUAUGAAUAUUGUAUAAGAUAAUAAAAAAAUAUUAAUUAAUUAUAUUAACUAAUUAUAAAAUAUAACUUAACUUUUGAAAUAAUUAGUAAAUUAUUUAAUUAGUUAGAUGAGUUGUUAAGAAAUUAAUUUAAUUAGUUAAUAAAUAUAAAUAUUAAUUAUUAGAUAAACACAUUAAAUAAUUAAUUCUUAAUGAGCUAAUUAACUACGAAUGAUUAAUUACUUAACUAUUUAAAUAAUAGAUAAUGACUUAAUUAUAUUAAUUAGAUGAAUUAACAAGUUAGUAUAAUAAUUAAAAUUAGAUUUAAACUUUAACUAAGCUUGCUCCCAAGCUUGUUCUAGGGGAGGAUGGAAUAGUUGUUGCACCCUUAUUCUCCCUUAUUUAUAAUCAUGGAACAAUUUCUUUAACCCCAAAUAAAGAGUUUGGCCUAUUUAAUAUAGCUAUUUUUUUUUAUUGUUAUUUCAUCAGAAAUUUUAAUUUCAUUUUAAUUAUCCAUGGCCCUGUUUUAUCAUUGUGCACUUUGUCCUUUAUAGUGGAGUAAUGUCCAGUAUGCUUAGGUGUAUACAGGAAAAGAUAAAUUUUUUUUAAUAAAAGUACCAUAAAUGUAACUUUUCAUUUCUUAUUUAGUAUAAACUUAUUGAAAAUGGAAGUAUAUCAAACUAUUAUUCUUGGGUACAUGCAUGAGUCGAGUAGUUUAAUUCAAAUUCUCAUUUGAAUAAAUUGGUUUAAUGUCUAAUGCAUAGAAAAUUUGUUUAUAUCUAUCGUUCAAUAAAUUUCUGCCUGAAAUUGAUCACUAUUUUUUCUUAUUAGAAAAUAAUUUUUUAUAUUUUGCGAAUGUUUGAUGGAGAUUUGAUGGAGAAAGUGAUGGAAAUUUUGCUAAUUAUUUAUUUGCUAUUUUAGACCAAACUUAUCUUGCCGUUUCUGCUGGGAUUUUUGCAUAAAUUUAAUGACAUCACAUAAAAGACAAUGAUAUCACAUAUAGGCAAUAAUAUUUGGUAUCAUUUUUUUUCCUUUCCUGAUUAAUUUCGUUAUAUUUUUUUAAAGCGUGUACCUAUUAUCAACUUUUAGUGAAGUGAGACAAAUGUCUAUCACUCCAGUUUGAAUUUUCUACUCAUUUUCCACUUAAUUUUUUUUUCUUAUUUUUUUGAGAGAGAUAGUGUGCUGUCUGUUUGCUUAUUUUUUUAGAAAUAAAUUUAGCAACAAAUAUGAAGCAAGCAACUAGGCUUCGAAUUUGAAACUUCAGAUAUCAACGCCAUU
rnacentral:lncRNA from 1 species